rnacentral:lncRNA from 1 species
UUUUUUUUUUUUUUUUUUUUUUGUCGACACGAUAGAAUUCCUAUAACCUAAACUAGCGGGGAGGGGGAGGGGAUUCGAUGUGAGUAAAGAUUCCAUCGAAAUUGAUCAAUGAAAACCGUCACAUAUUGUGACAAAUAUUGUGGGAGGCAAGGUUCGAACCCUUGACCUCCCGCACCCCAAGCUUAAGGAAGCUUGGGAUGACCACUGGACCAAAGGCCCAGUGGCAAAGCAAGAGCAGUUCACCUGCUCUUAAUUUUCCUCCUUUGAAGUACAAACUCAUGUGAGUGACCCGUAAUCCCUCCACCAUGAAAUCAAGUGUCCGCAGAAGUAGCAGUUGAACUGCUGGCUUGAAGAAGGGACUGACAAAACUCAUCUCCCAAAUCAUGUAAAAAUCCCAAUUUUUUUGGUUGGAUUUGCCCAAAAUAGACGCGCCGAAUUUGUGCUCAGAACAGCCGUUGGUACAGAGAAAUAAAGAAAGGCCUUCAGCGGCAAAAGAAAGAACAGGGGUUCAAUGAGAAAUAUUUGACUGUCCAAUGAGAAGGAAACGGUUUAAAAGAAAAGGGACUUGAUAAAUGGGAUUUUUGUUCAGUGGAGUCGGUUUUUUUGCUUUUCCGCUUCAUAAAUGGGGUCAAGUGCUGUUUUGUUCCAGACAUGGUCUAAUGAGAAAAGCAACGGUCCAAUGAGAAAUAUGUGAUUUUGUCACAUGGCAAAAGAAAAGGAAAGCACAAAUAGAAAGAAAAGAAAUGGUCCAAUGCCAAAAGAAAGAGAAUGCUCCGGACAAGUUGCAAAGAGAAGGCUUCAACAACUUGCAAGAAAUAUUUGGCUUGCCACUUGUCAAAUAAUAAAGAAGUCACUUGGCAAGAGGAAAUGAAAGCAGCAAACCUUGCUCUUUUCUUAUAUACCAAGGUAGAAAAAAAAAAUCUUAUUAGACGCAUCUAAUACUGCACUGAAAGAUUCUUCAUUUUUUUUUCCUUGGAUUGCCUUUUCUCAAAGGAAACUUGCGAGCAUACACGUACCGGAAAAUCACACUAAACUUCGUUGCACAAAUUAACCACACCAUUUUCCACAAAGACGCUGCAAAUAAAAAAAGCUAAUUAACAAGAGUACAAGCAAAUAAAAAUUCCCUAAACCAUAAUAUUAUCACGAAUGUGCCUGAGCAGCACCGGAACGACGACGUCCGGCGAGCUCAACUGGGGAAGAUGACCGUCGGUGGACAUGACCUCCACCACGGACUCACACCCUAGAUUUUGAUGAAGGUACUCGGAGACCACCACCGGUACGGCCAAGUCCUUCAUGCUCUGGAUGAUGCGACAAGGCACCCUCACAUGGGCUAGCAAAUGUCUCGUGUCACUACAGAAAAUGGUUCGAGCAACGCUGAGUGCUAUGUCAGGCCUCAUGUUGAAUAGUGUCCUGCUGAAUUCUUGCACGGCAACCGAGUCCAUGUCUCCUCCAACGGCCAAGGGUGCAAAUCCAUCGCACCAUGCCCUGUAAUUUGACUUCAUGGCUUCGAACAACUGGUCCAGAUCUUCCUGCUCGAACCCUCCAUAGUAAUCCACGUCGUUAAGGUACCUGUUUGAUUGGAGGAAAUUUGUUUUUAAACAAAAAUAAAAGCAAAAUAGAAUGACGAAAGAAGUGUAGGAAGAAAAAAAUUAAUAAUUUAAUCAAUUGACUACAUGUAGAAUUUCCUCGUUAUGUUUGUCGGAUUAUGAAGGGGGGUGGGCAUGGUUUUGCCAUUCCAGGCCCCACUUCAAAAGUCAUUCUUUUCUACUAAGUGGAAAAAACAAAUGGAAUGGAAUACAUCAAUUCCAACUUGUAAUUCUCAACCCGAAGGCUGCGUCAACUUGAGAGAAAAUAGAUUAUUGCUAUUGCAUCACGUUCGCUUUCAUGAUAUACAGUUGGGAACAAAUGGAAAGCAGCAGACGGUAUCUGACCUACCUACAGGUGGUAAAAUAUAGAGCUUGGUUGAUUUCACAUUAUAAAAUUUUUAGGAUAAAAUAAUUCCAGAAAAAUUUUUCCCCCUAAGAGGAAAUGAAAUUUCUUCCAUCAUUAGGAGUUAGAACAGUAAAAGCAACGAAUACUCCGCAGACCUUAACAUGACGACAGGGCCUACUGAUGACCAUUUGAUUAGACGACGUGAUUUUUUUCCCCUUGGCCUCCAAUUAACCCCAAAAGAUGGAAACCAAGGAUUAUGGCUGCAGUUCUUCUUCUUGUAAAACAAAAAAAAAACAACACCACCGACCCCUUGCCUGAAUAUUGUACUAAACUAGUCCAUAAGAAGUAACGAAAUUUUGGGAAAAUUUGUGGGUUUGUUAGCUUAAUUCCAGUACGUGUUCAGUAUUACUUUGUAAUUCAGGUGUACAAGCUGGGCGUGGUGGGAAUUAAUUUGCAGGAGCAGGCAGUACUAGUAAUUACUAUUUAGUUACCUAGGUGAGCCAGAAACCAUGACGAGUUUGGUGAAGAGGUCAGGGCGAGCAAUAGAAGCGACGGCGCCAAUCAUGGCCGAAACGGAGUGGCCAACAUAUAUGCAGGAAUCCACCCGGAGCUCCUCCAGUAUUGCGAUCACAUCAUAGGCAUAGCCCUCCAGAGUAGCAUAUCUUUCGAAGUCAAAGUAGUCCGGAUUGGUGGUUCCGGCGCCCAUCUUAUCGAACAAAAUAACCCUGUAAUCCUCCACUAGGUGUGGCACCAGGUGCUUCCACACCGAUUGAUCCGUCCCGAACCCAUGCGCCAACACUAUGGUCUGCUCCCCAGAACCUAAGACCUUGGCGUUGUGAGCUUCCUCCACUAUCCCCAUCUGAUUUAUGUUAGUAGUACGGUACCACUUAUUCUCCUUCCCUUCUCCUCGCCGCGAUGAACUAAUUAGGUCUAACAGCAAGGCUGGCUAGUUUUUGUGAUGGUCAGUCCACAAGACUCGAAAACUUGUUUAUAUUGGGAUUAAGCAGGCACUUGGGCUUUGAUUGUCUGCUACUUGACUUACCAUCUGUGAGAUUUUUUUAGCACUUUUCUGGGCGGUAACGGAGAGAGAGCUUUAUAGUGGGACGAAGGAUGAUGACUAACGACUAAGAACCACAUGUGCUUCAGCACUGUUCUUGAUCAGAAUACACGUACAUACGAAUGGUCAUGCUGUGUACAUGCCUAUACAAAGUUAAUUCUCAAAUUAUUUUUUAAAAAAGUAAAAAAUCUAGGGAGUUCCUAAAUUAUUAUUGUUGCCCAUUUUUUGCCCCUGAUAUAUUUUUUUGGUCUCCAAUUAGCCCUUAAAUAAUUAAAAUUGCAUAGUUUUAAGGACUUCUGACCAUUUUAGACAUAAAUCCAAACGGACUCGAAGGGCAUUUUUGUCCAACACUAAUAAAAAACAACGAAUUUAGGAUUUUCGUAGAGAAAUUUGACUAAGAAUUCAAGCAAAAUAAAGGAUUUUUUCUUUUCAAGGUUUCUAUUCCUACUCUCGCUACUUUUUAUUCAGUUCUGAAUAAUUUUCAUUAUGAUCAGACGAACAUGCCCUUGUAUCCCGGCAGAAUUUAUGUUUAAAAUGGCCAAAAUUCUUCAAAUUACACACUCUUAAUUGUCCAGGAACCAGUCAAAGACAAAGAAUAAAUCAGGGGUUUGAAAGUGGACAAUAAUGACAGUAUAGGGACUCCCCCAAAUUUUUUCACUCUCUUAAAAAAAAAAAACUAGAAAAUUAAAGAGAAAAGUUAAUUCGCUUAAGCGUUGAUGUUUGACGCGUAUACAAAUUGAAAUUAUUCGUCUGCAUGUGGUCGUCAUCCAUUUGUGAGCUGAUGGAGGGAUCACGGACAGCUGGUUUUGCAUUUUGAUUAAUUCAAUCCUUCUGCAUACGACAGAGGGUUAAGAAUUUUAUUAUAAUACUAAUCAAGAAGGAUUAACAAAUUUGAGAGACAAUCGAAGUUUGCAUGAUGGGGCGGUGGAAUCUUCUGGGGCUGUGAUGGGGAUUGGUCGACGAAAUUGUGUGAGAUUCCCUCCUAAUGGAGUCAGCAGUUUUACAAGUGUUGCCCUGCGCGGACUCCAUGCUCUGAAGAUUACGACUCAUCUUGCUUGAUUGGAUCUUCGAAAUUGGCUAGUUUCUUUAGUAACACAAUUAUUGGGUGGUUGUUGAUGCUGAUGUUUCUGUUAGUUUACAAAAGUUCUGCACCGUAAUCGUCAUGAGAAGGUUGUUAAUGUACUUAGCGGCAUACUCUAACUUCCAUGAUGAGGAUAUAUAUUUAUCGUAUUUGUCGUAGCAUACAAUUCGAAAGACGAUACCAGACGAUAAACAUGUAGAGAUAAUUCUCUGUAGUAAUUAAUCUUUGCUGAAGUUUGGAGGGAAAAAAAAAAAAAAAGAUUAAUCUUAGCUGAAGUUGAGAAUGCCCAACAGGUCACGUCGACUGUGAUUUUCACAAUGGACAGCCUUGCUUUCGUCUCACUAUUGAUGAGGGGUUAUUUUCAUGUUGGAGGCCAACUGAGAUUGACAAUACAUGAUGGGCUUCUCAUUUCCUCUCCGGCGACCAAGAGUACUCGGCAAAUGCUACUCCAUGGUGAAAGUGCACUAAUGCAGCAUAUUCCGAUCGAUUGCAGGCUUUUGUGCGGAAGUCUACAUCCACCAAAAUAAUGUCAUCGUAGUUUUACCAAGAAUCAAAUUAGAGAAAGUUACGGAUGCUGUUUUUAAUUAGAGGUGAUUUAUGAUUUUGUGCAAGAAUUUAAGGCCUUUAUCUAGUUUUAGAAGCCGGACAAGUCUGAAUUGAAUUUGAGAAAUCAAGACAGACUUCCGACCUGGAAAAAAAAUAUUAGCUACACCACGUCACACGCCACGUGACAAUACACUAAUACCAAUCAAAACUACGUCAAAUAAUGUGGUGAAUCACUCCUUAUCUAGCACUUGCUAUACAAGAAAUGACCCAUCACCAUUAUUUAAUAUAAUGACGAGUGAGUGAUAUUAAUGUACUAUACGGCUUACGUGGCACGCCUAAUGCCUUUUCCUUGAACCUCAGGUGCUUAUGGAAGGUUUUGCAAAUAUUUAUGUUAAUAAAAAGAGAAUUUCCAAUCUCUCGUUUAGAAACUAAUUAAACAAAACUGAAGAUAGUUACAGGUAAUAAACUACGCCACGACAGGAAUAUGACAACGUCCUUUUCUCUUAUGGCGUCGUAAUUAGUUCUUGCUCCUGUCCAAGUCUAUAGUUCACGCUAAGGAAAUUUCAUUUGAAUUGUUUCGAGGGAUGCCCUGCUCAUUUUGAUGCAUCAAUUCGCUGUAAGAUCAAUCUCCCUUUCAGAUCCCCUGGGAAUCGAGAGGACUGUGGAGGGACCAGAGAGAGGAAGCAGGCGCAAUUAAGGGCCCUUCCGGAAAAUAUAUUUUAUUAUAGAUUAAUAGAGUUAUAAUCGAGCUGAACCGUUGUCUUUCAAGUUCAGUUGAUCAAGUUAUCAAGUCAUGCUCAAGUUCUGCUCCUUUAUGUAAUGAGUCAAAAAUUUUGUUUGAAUUUAACUCGUUAAAAUUAUCUUGAAUUCAAAUUCAAACUAUGAUUGAGUCAUUUGAACUUAAAAAGUUUAAAUGUGUUUAAAUAUCUUAUACAAUUUUACAACUCAAAAAAUAUAACCAAUUUAAUUAGCCUAUUGAAUGAGAAAAAUUACACCAAAUAUAAAAAGGAUUUGUAAUAGUUAAACAAAAUAAAAUCUUAAGCAACCAAGACAAGAUAAAUCUACACAAUUACUAAGAAAAAUUAGUAAUAUUUGUUUGAAUAAAUGUCUAGACGAGUUUAAACGAACUAUUCUCGAGUCAAACCUAACUUGGUUCAUCUAAUUAAACAGGUCUAAUUUAAUGUUUGAGCUUGCUCAUUUAAUUAAAUUAACGAGUUGAACUCAAGCUUGUACGAACCAAAGCCAAGCAGGCUGUACAUUUAACAGCUCUACACAUUAAUCAACUAUAGUAGAACAUUUUUAGUUGCUUUCUUUACAUGUUGUCCCGAAUGAUGCUAAGCAAACACGCAUGUUGAUUCCCUAGUAAAGAAAAACUACCCAUAUUGAACUGCCACGAGCUAGGAGCACGUCACAUUAUUUGUUCUGAAAAUUUCGGAUUAGUAAAGGUCCGGUUGACCUGCUGAAUGCAUUGUCAACUUAGUAGGUCAUUGGGUCAGCACGACUCCUUUAUUCGUAUGGCCAUUUUUUUUUUUUUUUUCUGUUAACCAUCGACUUCUACGGAUGAGGAGAGUUAAAAGAGAUAGGUUAUGUCUUUAGACCAAAAGAUUGUACUGCUGCACAAGAUUUAAAUUUUAUUGUAAUUGUAAAAAUUUAAACCUGUGACCUGCACCAUAUAUAGUAUUUCACUCGGUGGCUAACCCGUCAAGGAUGAGAGUUAGUUUGGGGCUGAGCAUCCUGAUAUAGCAAGACUGUCGUCUUGUCACCUGCCGAUUGACUAUUUUAGACAAGUAUUUAAAGACCCCAGAGUCCAAACGAAGACAUCCUUUGAAGACUCGAGUGUGAAUUUCUCAUGGUAUGGUAUAUUAUUGGUGUUACCUAUGAUAAGAAGGGACAUACCUGCAUAUAUGAACAUGUAUGUUAAUAUGAUAAAGACCUCACAUGCAUCUUUAUACUUACGUCUGAUGACGAGAGGUAUAGUCUGUCAUAAAAAAUGGUGCAAGAAUUUCGUGCAUGUUCAUUAUUGAUCAAAUGGGCCAUGAAUCCAACAGCUAAUUUAGGCCAUUUCCCUGAUUGAUUGAUUGAUGUAUAUGCGUACCAAAGUUUUAUGAUUUUCACGUCUGAGAUGUUUUAUUUUUCAAGGAAGUGCAUAUAUAUAGGGAUUCGGGGGCUGGAACGGUUGUCAGUUCAACCGUUUCGGAAGGUGUAACAUUAUUUGCACACGGUAUAAUAUCAUCUAUACAAAGUGUAACAAUAGAACAAUAGUGAGUAACACUAAAACAACUUUUUUGUGGGUCCCACACGACGUGAAAAUCGAGUUACAAGGAGUGAUUUGAGCCGCACAAAAUUUUUUGACCAAAUCAUGGCCGUCAAUUGCCAGGAGCGGUUGUCUGGCCCCUCGUCCAUAUAUAUAGAGAGAGAGAGAGAUGGUAGAUGCUGAAAUUCAUAGAGUUGCAAAUUACUCUUAGAUCCUAUUUGAUAAUUCAAUUCACCAUUUAAACUUAAUAGAUUCAGAUUUUAAUAUAUUCAGACCGUUUGAUAAUAAAAAAUUGAACAUUUGAAUUAAUUAAGUGAUACUGAAUUUUCUAGAUAAAACUUGCUUUCAAAAUUAAGCAAUAAACUAUUCACUUAUCACUGAAUGUGACAUGCACUUAAAUAUAUUGAAUUUAAUAUUUAAUAAUUCAAUAACUUUAUAGAUUCAGAUUUUAAAUUUCAGGAUUCAGUUUUCAGACUUGAGUUUCAUUACUUCUUUUUAAGUCUUACCAUUUCCUAUAUCUUUAUCCCUAAAAUAUAUGUAUUUCUACUAUCUAAUUUGUGGAUGCUUUUGUGUAUUUCUCUUCCCUAAAAGUUAUCGCGUUGGUUAGCUAACUCCUAUCCAGUUCUUAAUUUGGGCUUAUAUUUGGAAAAUCCCGUCCGUUUGUCUGACUAUUAAACUGACCACAAAGAAAGGUUUCUCGUUCCAUUUGUGGUCUGACGGAAAGCCCAAUUACAGGAGUUUUAUAUUGAUAGGUCUGAAAACAGUAGCAUGUUUUGGGCUUAUCCUGUUCCAGAUAUAAUGAGCUGUAUGCCAGAACGUCCGCUUAGCCCAACGCAAGUUGGCCCGCUUGCUUAUAUGUACCCUUCUGAUUGAAACAUGCGCGUGGCGGCAUUGCCCACGAAGGUUAUAAUACAUGUGAAGAAAAGCACAACGGCCAUGCGAUCCUUCUCUUCAAGUAGUGCCUUCGGACGUUGUUUGGCAUUGCAAUGUUAAUUAGGGAAACUUAUUCUGGAGUUUUAUUUGUGAAACCCUCUUUUAGUUUUAAUUACAAGCACUUGGUAAUGUUUAGCUCUUUUUCGGCAAGUGGAGUUUUGUUAGUUUAAAUCAAUUCGUGUAAUUCUUAUUAUCAUUAGUAUGAACUCAUACAAUGUUGGUGUAAUCAUAAAUUGUACGCCAACUUAAUUGUAUGAAUUGUAAAUUCAAGUUUACAUAAAAUAAUUACAUUAAACGAUUUGAGUUGAACUUUUAAUUUGUUGGACAUGGUUGGUAUCAUGCUGUUGGGAGGUAGGAGCUUGAAAACGUGUAGUCCCCUCACGGUCACACCAAGCGCGUCAUCCUUACUCCUACUCUAUUCUAAUCUAACUAGGGGGAAAGCUCAACUAAGCCUAUGGGGGAUCGAGGGAUCGAUGGAAACAGAACCACCACCGCAUCAGACAGUGCACAACGCAUUCAUCUGAAUUUUUUAAAGGAUCACAUAAUGUGACAAUUUGGUAGGAGGCAAGUUUCGAACCCCUGACUCCCACGCCACCAAAGCCUUAAAAACUUGGUAGUGGCCACCAGUCUAAGGCUCAUAAUAUACCCACCCUCCAGGGCAAUUUCUGCAAGCUGCCAAUUUUAGAAUUAGUUUUGACUUUCCAGUUUGCACCACCGUUCAAAUCUUAUCCAUUACAAUGAGCUAAUAAUCUUGUCAAGAGUGAGCCUUUAGCAAUGAGAAUUCUUAGGAUCAAGUUUUCACUAAAUUGUAAUUUGUCUGCACGAGCGUUACUGAUCAUUAUGCAACAAUUGUAAUCUUAAAUAAAACGAUUGAAAAAACGAUCACUAAAACAUACAAUUACCUCUAAGCUGUAAGAGGAAUUGAAAAUGGAAACAAACGUUACAAAUAUUUUUUUCACAAAAAAAAAAAAAAAAAAACGCACGCACACGCACACUGGCACACAGUCAAAGCCCAUCUACGAAGCUUAGUACAAAUACAAGUACAAACGACGUCCGCUGAUCAGAAAUCACUACUCAUUUCCAAUAUCAUGUCGAAUAUGUCGGAGAAUGACCGGAAUUGUGAUGUCCGGCGAGCUUAACUGCGGCAGGUGACCCUCCGUAGAAAUGACCUCAACCAGAGACUGGCCCCCAAGAUUCUGGUGGAGAUACUCCGACACAGCUAAAGGUACGGCCAAGUCCUUGGUGCUUUGGACGAUAUGGCUAGGGACGGUGACGCGGCAGAGAAAAUGCCUGAGGUCGAACGUAAAUAUGGUCCGAAACACGCUCAGUGCUAUGUCCGGCCUCAUGUUGAACAAGGUCCUGCUGAAUUCUUGGACGGCAACCGAGUCCAUGUCUCCCCCCACCACAAGGGGUGCAAAUCCAGAGCACCACGACUUGUAAUUCGCCUCUAUUGCAUUGCAGAGUUGAUCCACAUCUUCUUUCUCAAACCCUCCGAAGUAGUCGUCAGUGUUUAUGAACCUUCAAGAAAUCAAAAGGAUAAGCAACUUUUUCUUUUUUUUUUUAAGUCAUAGUACAUAACGCACUGCAAUCAAUCCUAACUAUUGGAUUGGAAGCGAAACUUUCUUUACCGCGGGGAAGCCGCAAUCAUGAUGAGUUUCUCGAAAAGAUCAGGGCGAAAGAUGGAGGCAAUUGCACCCGUCAUGGAGGACAGAGAAUGGCCGACAAAGAUGCACGAUUGAAUUUGGAGCUCCUCCAAAAUGGCCAGUAAAUCAUAGGCAUAGCCUUCAAGAGAGGCAUAUCUUUCGAAGUCGAAGUAGUCGGGGUUCGUCGUUCCAGCUCCCAUGUUGUCGUAAAGGACGACGCGGUACUCAUCAACAAGGUGAGGUACGAGAUGUUUCCAAAGGGAUUGGUCGGUGCCGAAGCCAUGGCCAAGGACGACGGUCUUCUCGCCUGACCCCAGGACCUUCACGUUAUGUGCAUCUUCAACCACUCCCAUCUUCUUCUUCUUCUUCUUCAGUCACUAACGGAUGCCAAGCACUCUCUCUCUUUAUUAACUUCUUGGGCUGCCCUUGCCUGUUUGUCUGGGGAACGAUAAUGCAAUGGGACCGUAGCCGUGGACUAUUGGGGGCGAGGGAGGCCGCUUGGACUUUACCGGUGAUAGGGAUCAAGGAAAGGCGUCGAUCACGUUCAUUGAUUAAUAAUGAGAUCGAUGAUAUUCUUUCCAGCUAUUAGGGCUUCAGUCUUCAGGACCAUAUAUGUGUGAUAUUUGUUCAUCGCUAGCUCAUCCGUUAAAUAUCUAACCGUCCACGACAUAAACUCGUGUAGGUAGUUUAAUUCAUGUGGUUGGUUGAUGCCAUUGCUUGCUUAUGAGUUUCGAGUUUCCCAAAAUCUAUUCUACCGCAACGGAUCCUCUGUACCACACCUGUCUCACACCCUAUCCCACCCCUCCUAAACUUGCCAAGUGUCCUUUUAUUAAUCCAAUCCUGAAACAACCCAACUCGAACCAUAUUUAAUUAAUUAAUCGAUUAAUCGGACUGAGAAACUUAAUCUCUAUAACCAAAAUCAAUUAAAAUAAAAACCCAAAAAACAAAAUUAGAGAUUAAACAAGGCACAAAAAAAACCCACAAAAUUCGGGCAGGACAACAAAGCGCAAUUCAACGCAGCAGGCCACGAUUCUGGUUUCCCAUCAGAUUGGUAUCCUUCUCAAAAGCUUCAUCCGUGAGACUUCUUGUUACCCUCCCAAGGCAGUUCCCAUCAGACUUCCUGUUUCUUAUGGAGAAGUCUCCAUGUAGGGCUUCGAAGCUUCGUUCGUGAAUAUUUCGUCAAAGCUGAAUGGUGAAGAUGAUGAACUCGGACAGCCCUGCUGCGUUGCGAUGAAGCUUUUGAGAAGGAUACCAAUCUGAUGGGAAACCAAAAUCGUGGCCUGCUGCGUUGAAUUGCGCUUUGUUGUCCUGCCCGAAUUUUGUGGGUUUUUUUGUGUGCCUUGUUUAAUCUCUAAUUUUGUUUUUUGGGUUUUUAUUUUAAUUGAUUUUGGUUAUAGAGAUUAAGUUUCUCAACCCGAUUAAUCGGUUAAUUAAUUAAACAUGGUUCGAGUUGGGUUGUUUCAGGAUUGGAUUAAUAAAAGAACACUUGGCAAGUUUAGGAGGGGUGGGAUAGGGUGUGAGACAAGAUGUGAUACAUAGGAUCCGUUGCGCUAUUCUACCACCGUCCUCGCACCUAAAAAUAAAUAAAUAAUUAUUGGAAUUUGUCAAGAGAAGAGUUCCUAAAAACAGCAGGCAUUAUUGGAAUUUUUUUUUUGUGUGGCUAAAUCAUUUAUAACAAAAUAAAUGAAAGCAUGCGUAGUAUUAACUAAUUACUGGAAUGUAUCUGAACUGGAUAUGUAAGAUAGCCAUGGAAAAUUGAAAAAUAAUAAGUUGUCUUUAGCAUCAUAGACAAAAAAGAGACUUAUAAUAAAGUAUGAUUUGAUUAUUGUAUUAAUGUCAAUAAAAAAUAAAAAGAAAAUUCUUCUAAGCCGGUUAGACCAUAAUAGACUAGUUAACACAUAUUGUGCAUAAAACAUACGCAAAACCAAUUUGCAAUCAUUGAGUAUGUAAUGACUUGAAACACAACUGCUUAACAUCGAUUAAAUUAAUCAAUUUUUUUUAAAUAAUCAACAAAUUCCUUUGCAUUUUACUCACUAACAAAAUCAUGCCAUGUUAAUUUUAUAUUUUAAUUUGAAAGAGAUUGAUAACACUAGGGGAAUUAUGGAUUUUUUUAUUAUCCUUGAAAUGUACAGCAAUAAAAAUGAUUUUAAAAAAUGUUCGAUUUUCGAUGAGUCAUAUAAAUAAGGAACAAUAAACCCAUCUUAACUAAGAAAUGGAGAUUUUAAAUUAUCACGACAUGGGUAAGUCGAUUUACUUUAGUAUUUAUUGAAGGUGAUUAAAACUCAAAUGCCUUACCUUUUCAUUCUAAAAAGCAAAUAGGGUCAUACAAUAAUUUGCAAAAGUAAAGUCCAUGCACGAAUACUACAAACUAAAAGUCUUGAGGAUUGCUAUACUGCAUUGGCUAGAAUUUUUGGGGCCAAUUUGAAAAUUUUUAAAAUUUUAGCAUAUUCCCCAUCUUUUCUCAAGGGAACUCUGAAACCCUUCACAGCCUCCAUUACUCUACUAAAACUUCUGGCGCUGAUGGUGGAGGAAAUUGCAGCUGGCAACAAGCCUUCCUAACCCUGGUCCUCGUACUAAGACAAAAACUCCUAUCUCCCUCAUUUUCUUGUCUUGACAGAGAAAGAAUAUAGGUCGAUUCAAGGGAAAGAAAGAAGAAGCUUCUUUUUUUUUUUUUUUUCGUCGAAUACGGUAGACCUACAUUAUUUUAUACUAAAGGGAGGGAGGCGUGGAGAGACCCAAAGAUAACUCAGAGAGGACUAAACUAUCACUCGACCAGACAGGUACACUAUACACUCGUAUAGAUUUUUUAAGCAGACCCAUAUAUGGUGGCAAUUAGCAGGAGGUUAGGUUUGAACCCAUCAAGCCUUAAUGUUUUGGCGGUGAUCACCGGGCCAAAGGCUGAAAAUUAGCUAUGGAUAUCUACGGGUUCAAGACAAGAGGGGGAGAAUUAAGAAGCAUAUUAGAAAAGAUUCGAAUAAGAGAUUUUACCUGAAAGCAGAUCACAGCUGGUUUCUUUAGCCAUUUCCUUUGAAUUCCUUUCCCUGUGCUUUCCACCUCAACCCAACGUGGGAAUUCAAUUAUGAUGGAAUCACUUUCCUUUUUCUUAGUGGUUUCCUAGAACCAAACGGGGCCUUAAAAUUCUAUUAUUAUUUUUUUUAUAUUGUAUGAUGAGAAAUAACACAUACUGUUGGUGUUAGAUUGAUAGAAAAUUUAACUUUAUUUACUUAAUAUCCACUAAAACUUGAUUUUAAAUAUAUAAGUUAUUUUUAUAUGGGUGAAUCGGGACAACUCACUGUCCACCAAUAAAAUGGAUUUAAUUAGAUAUCAAUUUAAACCCAUUUUAAAUUCAAGGCAUACUCAAAUCCAGUGGAUGAAUUUCAGCAGAUCAACAUAAUUGAAAUUAUGUUUAACACCUCUAGAGCAGACCCUUCCAAAGAAAAUGAAAACAUACAGAUAUAUGUUUUUGGGCACUCGGCACUAUAAAAAUUAGUUAAAAGAAAAUGAUUGAAAUCGUAAGCGGGCACUGGACAAGCAGGAACUGGUUGCGCCACGGUUUUUUUGGGUUGUUCUGGGGGUGGAGCACGAUGACUCACAUUGGACCAGAAUGUGCAUUUUGGUAGAUUCAGAGCACUGCUCCAUAAGCUGUGCAAUACACGAAAACCCGAUAAGCGCAUUAUGAUUCUGCGAUUAAUAGAAUAUAAGUAGUUGGAAUUGUCUCAUUCAAUAGGUAACAGAAUCACCAUAGAAGAAGAGUUUUGAACGGCUCCGCCUAUUUGGUUUUCACUUCCUACUCGAGCUUAAUGAGCUCCAUCGCCUCUCACUUGGCUUGAUAAGCAAUCCAUUUUUGAGCCAAUGACUGGCAUGUUGUCUGGUCCUAGUUUAAGCGGCCCGGAACACCAGUUCACUUUAAUCAUCUAAUUUGACAACGCCCACUUCAUUUGGGAAGAUAAGUUCAGCUUUUACGGUGUAGUUGAUCCGCUAGAGAAUAAAUGCUGCUUGAGUUUUUCUCUCAAGUGACCUAAAUCCAUUUGCAUUCCUCAAUCAAGCAUCACUCGUUGCCAUGCCCGUGGUUCCUUCUAGUGCACUUCGGGGAAAAAAAAAAAAAAAAGGAACGCAAACUUCUUGCCUUUUCUCUUGGGUUGAAGAGAAUGCAGACAAUUUACCAAAUUACAGAAUUGAUCCGCACGACACUGGUUCAUAUAUCACUUCAUUGAUGGAAAGGAUGGAACAUGUGAAGUUCGAAAAAAUUCAAUCUGAAAAGAAACAAAUUCAAACUCGGGAAAUUGCAUGGCAUUUUUGGUAAAGAAUGAGGGCAUCACAUCACAUAAAUGUAAGACCAAGCAUGGCUACUAUACUCUUUGGCACCAGUGUGAUUCCAAACGAUGACUGAUCAACUUUAUGUUCCCUAUCCGCAAGCUGAAACGCUGUUUUAUUAUUCUACAUGGUUACACGGGUACGUCUGUAUCUAACAAAUACAACACUCCCUAGGACAGAGAAAGCAAGAUGAGGUGAAAAAAACCCAGCGGGGAAGUCAUUAAUUUGGACACAACCCUUCCUCACAAGGGUAAUAUACAUGACCCCUUCCUUCUAUCAAUGGCUCCGAAAGCUCCAUCCGAACCCUGUUUCGAAAGGGAAACAAUAUUUACAGGAUAGAGUGAUUGUGUACCCGGGAUUGUCAAGGAGAAACCUGGGGUGUAUUGUCUGCAUGAUCCGAAUUCAGAGAAUAGAUAUCAACAGGGACACUAGUGCAGUCGAAGAUUCCAGUAUCCUUCAGUCUAAAAGUUGGAGAGCCUUGAUGAUCAAGAUAAAUCACAAUCACAGUAAUGUCAUCGUGGAAAUGGCGCCUAGCUCCUUUUUCUAGUCUUUUUAUGUCAUUAUAUUUCAUUUCUCUUUUCUUAGCGGCCUCUUGCAAGGCAGCUCUCACCAAUCGCUUUGCAAUUCCCUGCACCGUGUAACAGACAAACCCCGUAAUGAGAAGUGAUUAAAGCUAACCAACAACAAGAUUAAUAACAAGUCAGUUAUUCUCAAUUCUGCAGAUUAUAAUACUUAAGCUUUAAAGAUCAUGCAGAUUCUCACAAUUCUGGGAUUCUUAACGACAAUUUCCACAGCUUCCUCAUCGGUCAGUUGCUCCCACAGGCCAUCUGAUGCAAAUAUUAAGAACAAGUCUUGUGGCCUUAACUUUCGAAUUAAUAUCGACGGCUCAGCUGACAUGACAGCCCUUUUCAGAGGCACAGGGUAUCCAAAUUGCUGGAACAUAGGGUCUCUGUUAAAUUCGGGUUUCUUAAGAUAUAUAUCCCCAAUGGACCUAGAUACCUGACAAGCAAGAGGCGAUAAGCAGAGAUGCCAUUUUCAGUAGUCAGAAGGAACAGACAAACUUCAGCAUGAACAAUAAUAUAAAUAACAGCUAUAACAACCAUUUUAGCUCCACAAAAUCAGAUUGCAAUUAAACAAGUCAAGCUAUCAUCAGAUGUAAUCCAAAAAGGAGUUUUAGAUACAGCUAAGAACUAACAUAUCCAUUAAUGGAACAAUCCAGUGCAAGAGGGGAGAAGUGUGCAAGGGAUUUGGUCAGUUAAAAUCAUGGUAGAGAUAAAAGCAAGAAUUCUGUCGCAUCAAAGCAUUUAGGGCCCAAUCAAACUCAAGGUUGUUGGCUGCCAUGAAGAUAUUAAAGGGACUUGGUAAACCAUGCCCAAUGUAAAAAGCAGCCAUAUUUUGAUGUUUAAAGUAGGUUGAUCAGUUUUGAAAUGUUAACUGCCUCGAAAAGAGUACUUUGAAAAAAUAACUCAACUCAAUUACAACACAAAAUUAAUAAAGAAGCAUGGGAGGAAUGGAUGAUAAGGAAAAUAUUUCAAAACACAUUCCCUGAACAAAUAUGGCAGAAUUUAUUCCUAUCUCCAUGUUUACUUCCCUCGUAUAGUAGAAAUUAUUUAUGAAGCACAGUGACUCCUAAGACAUGGCCAUUCCGGAAAAGUUAAACGCAAUUAACCUCCAGUAUUGAAUCACCCGCAUGGUUCAGAUAAAAAACAGGAAGUUGUUCAUAUGAGGUAAUGCAAGAGUUAUUUAGAGCAAUAACAGGAGCACCAUGUUACUUCUGGUUUAAGCAAUAAAGAAAACACAAAGGAGAGAAGCCUAAUAUCUGACGCAAAUCCAAAAUGAACCCAAAGCAAUUCCGUAGCCUGGUUAAAGGAAAUAUUCGGGCAAGCCAGAAAUGCAACUUUGCUGAACAGAUAUAUCCACCUCCCCGACCAACUCUUUUGAAAGCAUUUACAUUCUCGAGGAUGGAAGUAUAGACAUUCAUCUAAGUUUACUUAUUGCAGUGCAAAUCCAAGCCUCACAAGCAAACAUGACUGUAGCCAUUGGAAAAAAAAAAUGUUACACAAAGUGCAGAUGGCCUGAUAGUUUUUAAAGCUUACUAAGCACCAGGAUACUACCAGCACUUACUUGAAUUAGUGUUCUUUCUUAUGUAAAAGGAAGAGAAAAUCCCAUAGCCUGAUUCAUAUAAAAUAUAAAAGUAGUUGACCCUAUUAUAUCUAUCAAUCAAGAGCAGAAUUCUAGUACUAGAACAAGGCACAUGUUCCUCCUCUGCAUCAUUUUUUUUUUCAGUUGAGCUCCUCCUCUGCAUCUUUACCGUGCCUGUCCUACACAUUAUAGGUACUCUUUAAGCAGAGAGCCUAUCUCAAAGCAUGAAUGACUUCACAUUCUUAAGCAGUGCAUGUUGUGGAAACAUUUUGAAGAAAUUAAAAACAAAACAUAGAGGAAAAGGUUCUUUUGACAUUGAAAUAAACUCCUCAGAAGCUGAUUAGAAAUGAACAAAAUUUCCACUUCAUUGCUAUCGAACUACAACAAAGUUGACUGCUAUACCUCCUUAUCGACCAUCAAUAGAAACUGAAAAUGGAAAAACUGGAGGGUUUUAUCUCAUGUAAUCAAUCGAACUGCAGGCAAAGAACACCUGAAUUCAUUGUGAGAUGAUAAUUAUAAACCUCUAAAGUGGGGAACGGACAAGAAAUGCACCAAAUCCUUGGGUAGAUGAUUAAUCAUAAUCCAGAGCCUACAAAGUGACUCCAAUAAAUAAACACAGAAAGUAAAGAAACGGCAGUGGGAUACAAACUAAAAGAUCUUGAUAACAACCAAUCCACCCAAACCGAGGAUUCCAAAACAAGCAGCUGUACCUGAAUAAUGCCCUUAAUUCGCCAAACUCCACGAGUAUGAACAACAAUGUGUGCAUCAUCCGGAUGAAGUGCCUCAAUCUCCUUCCUCACCUCCUCGAUGCCAACAUUAUGAUCAGUGGACAAACGUUCUGCCACCACGGUAGACGAAUUACUUUCAGGGCAACCUAUUACUCUCUUACCUAGCACAGCCCUCGAGUCACCAACGUUUGCCACAUAUAAAACACCAUUUGCUAUUGCUCCAACAAGACAACAUGAGCCUACUGACGCGAUCUGUGGCUGAGACAACCAUGAACUCUUCACGAAAUGCAAAAAUUCCUCCUCAAUAGCAUUAAAUGCCUUCUUUAUCACCUCCUCAGACAAACCUCCUUGUUCCAGUGCAAACUCUAUUAUUGCAAAAUCAAUUAAUUAACAACGACAUUCACCCGUUCCGACAACUUGCCAAAAACGUGAUAAAAAUUAAGAAAUAAUCAAAGCUUUCAUCUUUCCAAUUUCGUAUCAUAGAUGACAAACAAUAAAUGCAUUUUCGAGGUAAGUUGUCUUUCCUCCAUCCUUUCCUUUAUCAAUCAAAUCAUACAAAUGAGUAGCCAUAUGCACUCAUAACUCCGAAACUUCAAACAAACUUCUAUGACAUCCCACAACAUUUCUGAACCACAAAGAAUCAAAAUUAUUAUUAUUUUUUUUUAGAAAUCACGUUAAUGAUGAGAAUCAUUCUGCCAGCAAUAUCCCAUAGUGAAUGAAAUACCAAAUCGAAGGGAAAUUUUUUUAUAAAAAAAAAAAAAUGAAAGAAAGAAAAAAAAAAAAAGACGUAAAGGGUUAUAAGGAAAUUACUCUGGAGGAAAGGAAAAAGGCGGUUAGUGAUGAAGCGGGAAGCUUGAGGGCCGCCAUGGCCAUCAUAAACGCCAAUAUAAGUAGCAGAAGGAGAUGUGAAAACUUGACCCUGGUCUUCCAAUGAAGAAUUAGCUUGUACAACUGCUAUGGAAUAGUCACCAGAGGCAUGUGGCUUCAAGUCCAUGUGCCACAACAGCCCAUCACCGCCGCGUCCGCCACCUAAACAGCUCUCCCACGGUCUGUAACAAGCCCCCAACAUCUCCCUCCGCCUUACCGCCGCCUACUUGCCGAAUUCCGAUGAUCAAGCAUAGAAAUGAAGAACUAAUCUGUGUUUGAAACAAACAACUAAUUUUUUCCAGUUUUACUUUAAAAUGUAUGCUCCAAAGGCAAGGCCAGAGUCCAGAGUCCAGAGUCCAGAGUCAAGUCUUUGCCGUAAGCAGAAGUAGUUGGAUGGUGUUGAGGCGGGGCGUUUUGGUCAGUGAGGAGGAAGUCAUGGAAUAUGCAUUUAGUUAGCACUUAGUAGUAUUAAAAGUUGUACACUGACUGCUAUAGUAAUCUUAUUCUGCUAUCACCGAGAACCUUGUUUGGCAUAAUGAAAAUUAUUUUCGUCAACGGAUUUGAAAACAUUGGCAAAAUAGAAUUAUGAUCAGCGAAGGAAGCAAGUUGAGGAAUUAUAUAAUGAAAACUCAUAUAUUUAUUUAACUAGAAAAGGUCGCGUCUCACUGAUUUGUGUACUGUCCGGCCCUCCCAAGUCCCAACCACUCUUUUUCUCGUCCCAUUUCUUUUCUAUCCAAAAAUAGCCUUUUUUAAGUUUGAAGAAGAAAACAGACAUAAUGCCAAACCAAUCUUUCAAGUUUGGCUGUUGAAGGAAGGGGCAAAAGUGAAUAUGGAAACCGUGUGGGAAUUCCGCGUUUAAGUGAGUGGAAAAUGGAAUAUCCCCAGCCCCCACUCCCAGCCCCAGGGUGGUGGAAAAUAUGCACAGUCAAGAAUGAGUAAAAAAACUGAUUAAAGAUUGGAUCGGAGGCCGGGGAUGGGCAUUUGGGAACGGGAAAGAGUCAAGGAAAAUUGGUUCAAAGUAAAACGAUCAGAUGCUGCUGCGUUGACGUGGACGUGGACGUGGAGCGAGAAAAGUUAUCCCAUACGUUAUUGCCGUCGUCGUCGACUUCAUGAAGCUGAAUUGCUCCCAAUCGCAAUUGCACCAUCUAGCUUCUGAUCCAGGAACAUUCUACUGAAUUUUACGUUGUAGCCACUAAUUUUUUUUUUUUUUGAUAAUUUCAGGCUAACAUAAAUAAAUCAGCUUUUAGCAAGUUGAAACAAUUUCUGAUAUCCCAUUCAAUUCAUGUCAUGGAUAUGGAAGUUUUUUUUUUUUUUUUUUUUCACGCGCUUUUUGCAUCCAAUUACUAAGUAUAGGGCUCAAAUCCUGAAUCCGGCGGCAACAAGAGAGACUUCUUCUCCUGACUAUCAGGCCAACCCAAUAUAGUUUGAGAGCCUUUAAGCAACAAGAACCAAAUAUAGAAGCUUUUAUUGGCAGGCUUCAGAGAGUAGUGAUUGCGAGCCUACUUCCCGAUUGUUUGCAAUUAUGAAGGUUUUCCCAAUUGUAGUGAUUGCAGUUUUUCAGAAGUUUUCCAACCAUGUGUUCCUGAUUGUUCUAUGUAUCCUUCUCAUUGAAGAAGUGUUGCAUUAAUAUCUCCUUGAAACAUUCCAAAACGCAAUUUUGAGAAUGAAAUGCUUUUCUAACUUAUAAAUUGGGGAAAAGAAAAAAGUUGACAGACAAAUGGUUAUGAAAAUUACACGAUAAUAAUCUUCAAAAUCAGAUGCCAAAAGUACGUUGAAAAACCAGGAGAGACACAAGAUGAUGGUACUCGGAGGGAUAUGCACGCACGGUCAGACAAUUUUUUUUUUUCUUCCCCCCAAUGGUAAGUUCUGACUUCUACUUUACCACCCAUUGAAUUUGGGCAUGAACAGUUGAACAUAUCACGGACUCGAUUGGUCAAGAAAAAAAUUGUACGGCCCAAAUUACAAGUCAUACAUCAAUUCUAACACGUGCGUGACUCACAAAAAAAAAAAACAACUAAAUAUAUAUUGUGUUCAAAUUUAUGUACAUUUUGAUCAAAUGCAUGAAACCGUUCAGGAUGGUUUCACUAUAAAUAGUUUCAGUUCAAAUCUCUACCUGUUUGGCCGGGACUUUUUUUUUUUUUUUUUCUUUCUGACAUUUUCUUACGAAAGUAAAAAUUUUCGACAAAUAAAUCUAACUCCCCAUAGUAAUUCCAAAAACCUGUUUGGCCGGGACUUACUUAACUUCUUUUUAGUAAAAUUCUCUCUCCAUUUUUACUAUAAAAUAUUAGUUUGCUACAAGGAAUGUCGAUAGCAAUAAAAUAUCAACUACCGAGGUUUUUUUUUUAAUGCUUGAUUAUGAUUUUUUUUUUUUUAAGCAAUGAGGUUAUCAACACUUAGCUGUAUGGAUAUCCUGCCAACAAAACUUUUAAAGUUCUAUGUUGGUCAUACACGGUUGCUAAAUAUCUCGUGGCCCGUAGAAAACACGUUACCUUGCGGUACAAAUGUUGGCCCAAUGCUUAAGUUGAUGGAUGAAGAAAUGUGGAGCAAAAAUGCUUCUUCACCCUCGCAGCGAAGUUUAACCUUUACUUUUUUUUUGGCCCAAUAGUUUUUUUUUUUUUUUUCUUUUCUUUUGUCACGAUUCUGUAGCCUCACCGGUUAUUUGCGCCGUCCGGGUAUUUUUCACUGUAACAUUUAUGAUUGCUCUUCCAGAAACGAGCCAGCGAGUUUGGGUGGGUCACUAAGUCACUAACUACUACAAUAGAAAAACGCCAUCUAUGACCUAACUGCCAGACGCUGGACGUUACAGCGACUGCAUUAACCCCCCGUACCAGAGGGACUAAGAUUGUGUAGCCUGCCGUACUCCUUACUUAACAACCUAGAAAUCUUUGGACCAAAUCUCCGCCCGUCGCUUUUCACACACACUAAUGAAUCAAUCAAUCAAUCAACUAUGGGGAUGGAAUCAUACGCUUUUGAAAACAAUUGGAUAAUAGUCGGGUUUCUUAUUUGAAAUUUAAAAAAUUUGUUUGAAGAUGGAAAUGACUUUGACCUGAAUCUUGCUGACUUUUGAAACUGUGGGUGCGAAGUGCAGAUGCUGCGAUUAGUCAAAUCAAUCACCACGCAACUCCCGUAUUCUCUUAGUUUCAACUUCUCACGAUCUGAAUCUAUCAUGUGGCAUGCAUAGAGUUGAAGGCUGGUAAACAUGAUGAUGGAUUAUUAUCUUACAUAAAUUACGUCAAUAAUAGUUAUAAAGCUACAUAUUGAUGAAAGGAGCAAAUCUAAUAAUUCAACAAAUCUCUCAGAAAUGUCUCAAAACCUUUGGAAGUUGAAUUCUCGAGAGUGAGUUCCAACUCCAAGUGUUUUCCUUCGUCAAUAAAUAUCAAGCUUUUGCGCGACAAUUUUGAGUUCUUCACGUUUCAAGGCAAUUGAGGAGCUUAUUAUACUUUUGAUAGUUUCUUUCAUUUAUUUCAAGUUUAAUUGUCCGCAGCUAUUUCGCAAAUCCUGUGCAUUUUUUUUUUAUUUGGCGUAUUUUAUAGUAAGUAUUUCUAUUUUGCAAUGAAAUGCACCUGCUUUACAGACAUAAUACCGUUGGACGUACCAAAAAUGGUUGUCAUAAAUCGCACUCCAACUAACUACUGCUUCCCAACACCAAAAUCUUUAUGUAAGAAUUCGAUGGAGGAUAAAAAAGUGAUACAGAUACUAAAUGCAAGAAGCCAUCCAAACUAGUGAUCGAAAACAGAAAGAAGCGAACGCAAUACUAACAUGGUAGUACUAGUAUUUUCAUGGCUUUUUUUUUAAAACUAGGAGGCAUAAACCGUGCUACGCACGGUGGGAAAAAUAGAUGGAGAUGCCCAGUCCCGUAAAAUGAUUUGUACUUAAUUAAAAAUGGAUCCAUUAAUGAUAGAGAUAAACCAAAAUUAGAGCAAAAUUUAGUAUAACAAGGGCUCCCCUAAGCCGAUGGAGGUUAACUAUUAAGGAUGGCUGCAUCCUUGAUCAAUAAAAGACAAAGCCUCCUAAGUAUGUAAUCAUGUUAAAAAUAGCAAGUGUUAUUCGCAACAAAAAAUCAGAAUAAUAGAGAAUUUUGUCCAAAUUGCCAUCUCAAGGCUAGGUUGCAUUAUGAUUUAGUUAUAAGAUCCAUCAAUUUUCCAAUGAUGCAGCUACCUAAACUUAUAAACAUCAUCCAGAGUUAGAUUUUGCAAUCUUUUCAUGCUCUCAAAAUAGUGAAAACAUUUAUAUUAAUAUAAAUUUUGGACUAUUAGUGCAGAAAGUAGACCCUAUCCCAAACCUUCGUGAUUCGUAUGAGAACUAAAAUAUACCGAGAGCAGGAAAAAUAUGAGAACUCAAAUAUACUGAGAGCAGGGAAAUCACGAAGGAACGGAUACAAAUUUCAUCUAACAAUAAAAAAUCAGUAAUCACCAUGAUGUGGUGCACUUCUUAGUUUACAUAAUCCGACUAAAGAUAAAUUUUGAAGCUAGAAUAGCAGGAGCAAAAUUUUCUAUGCCUUUCCUCUUGAAGAUAAUAAUUGCAAAAGAAAUUCUAAGAUGGGGAAUAAAUCAACGAGUCCUUGUUUCAUGGAGUCUUCUACAUUGCAUACCUGGGAACUUCCUGUGAGCAAAGAAUGCACAAAUACAAAUUAGCCUUGGAAUGAGUACCAAUUUUGUCAACUAUUUACACACGAGGAGUACGCCCUCACACCCUCCAAAAUCACAAAGAUAAAGUGCCAUUCGUAUAGAUACAAGGCAAAAAAUGGAAUUACAAUAUACAAUAGCAUGACAACCAAUAACGGCUUUUGCCGGGGCUAGCUACUGUCUUUGUGUUCAUUUGUGAAGGAAUGGCAUUUUAAGACACACUGCAGCCAAUUCUUUGAACCGAAUCAACUCCACAAUUAACAUCCAUUUACAUCUAUUUUUAUAUCUGCUUGACUUCCACUCGCAAAUCAAUACGUUGCAGUUGAAUAAAUAGAUCAGUACAAAGAUUGUGAUGAAGCAUUUCAGCUUGUGUUUCAAGUAAUCCAUCACAUGCGUCUCAAUGGAGAGCUCAGACUGGAGUGCUGGACCUUUCAGAGUUUGCCUUGUAGCCACCUCUGUAUCAUGUCCAAUGCUGCUUUUGGCUGAUCCAUAGGAACCAAGUAGUUAGCAUUGUGUACUUUGAGAAAGAUCAAUGGUCCAUACUUUUUUUGUAAUUUUGCCUCCAAACCGUCUACUGUAAAUGGAACAGUAGGAGCUGCUUAGUAAUUCUCCUGUCCUGACCAUUUCACAGCCUCAACCCAUCUAUGAGGUAGAGUAAACAACCUCGAAUUAAAAAGAGACAAAAGCAAGAGUAUACAGCUAGUCAACAAGUAGAAGUUUGUCAUUUAGAAAAAAAACUUCUUUAGCAUUUGCGCACCACUUCUUUAGCCUUCAUAAAGCAAUGACUAAAUCCAACAAGUUCGUUUUCAUGAAACCUACUCCCAAGUCUGAAUCCCAACAAACCAAAAGACCGAACAUUAAUAUUCAAUGAAUCAUCCAAAUAGACGUCAUGUAGACUUGUGCAUAAACCUUAAAAUUGAGCUAGGCAUUUUAAGAAUUUAGGAGGAUAUACCUCAGAUCUGUACUCUGCAUCUUCUUGUAAUUAUUCCAGUAGGGCAAUGUUAGAGCAGCAUCCCUCACAGCUUUUCUCAUCUGAAUAUAUGGAAAGGGGAAAAAUAUCAAUUAUAUAUUUUUUAAUAACUAAUGGAGACUUACAAUUGAGGAUAAAGAGGCACAUUAGCCAGAUGGAUAGUUUAAAAGAAGGAAACGAAUAUAAAAAUGCAGACAAAAAGAACCAGUCAAGAAUAUAUGGAGCAAGUACUCUAAUGAAUCCAAAUUCAUAUCAACAUAGCCUAACGGAGAACAAAAUAAAUUAGCCUAUUUACAACUCUAAUAUGCCGUAAACCUCUAGCCAGGAAGCUGCACCCUUUUUCCAAAAAAAUCACUAUACAUCCCUGUAAUAAACCCAACCAGAAACAAAAGGAAACCUGAAGAAAUAUUCAAAUCAAGGGAAAAAUUAAGAGAAGAUUGCUCAUGAAUGGACACAUUUAUUCAGAAACAUGUAUAGAGUGCACUUAAGUGCAGUUUACAAGUUUUACAAUCAUCAAUCUAACUAAAACGGAGCCCAAGGAAAUAAAAAGAUAAGAACACAUACAUAAAAAGUUAGCAAACUUACACAGUGAAGGAGAAUGUAGCACAACGAAAGCACCAAAAAGUUCCCUAAGAAAAAGCAUACGAAAAAAAAACAAGCAAAUUCAACAAUAAGCAUAAAACCAAUCUAAAUAUUCCAUAAGAAGAGAAAAAGCAAGCCAUUAAAAAAUUGCAAAAAAUGCUCACUGAAAAAAGCAGCAACAGUACGGAGAAUAGCAAAGAUAAAGCAGAAAUAGAUGAGUUUAGUUAUAUUCAGGCCUAAUAAAAAGAAAGGGAUAAAAACAAGCAAACUUAACAAUAAGCAUAAUACCAAUGUAAAUAUGCCACAAGAAGAGAAAAAGCACGCCAUUAAAAAAUUCUAAAAAAUGCUCACUGUAAGGAACAACAACAGCAUGGAGAACAACAUAGAUAAAGCAGAAAUAGAUGAUUUUAGUUAUACCAGGGCUAAUAAAAAAGAAAGGGAAAAAAAGCUGACGAUAGAAAGUGCUGGAAAACAAUAAAAUUUUGAACAGAUCUGCAAUGUAUCAGGGGGAAAAAGACGAUUGCUUGAAACCACCACCAUUAGUCCAGCGAGGCCGAAAGCAUACUGGAAAACAAAGUUCUUGGAAUAGAUCGGCAAGUGCUUGGAAAAACAAGGAGUUUGUUUUUUUCGGGGUAAGAAUGUUUUUUUUUGUUUCUUAUUGGAAUAAAAAAGCUUGUUUGAGACCACAUUUAAGAGAAAAUGAGAAAGUUGGUGGCCUUCACAAGCCAACGAGAAAAGCAAAAUCAAAGGAAAAGAGGAAAAUCACCAAGCUUUAAAAAGAAAACGGGUUCAACUGAAUGGAGUUGGCAGAAGAAAGCUGAAAUUAACCUAUUGCUAAUGAAAAUGAUGGAGACUAAGCAAAAAUUAGGUCCAGGAAUUAAAAAAAAAAAGAAAAAGAAAAGGCAGAGGAGAGGAGGGGCGACGCUGUCUCUGCAAGCAACAGUCCAGAGACUAAAAAAACCACAUCACAAAACACACAACUACACAUGAUCUACAUAGCCUCGAAUCUGCAAGAGAGAACCAGAAAAAGGGGGAAAAAAUAGCGCAACGCAGGGGGGAAAAAGCGCAAACACCAACGGCAAACUCGUGUAGAUCAGAUAACGGAAAAGCCAAACAAAAAAUACAACGCAACGCUGAGCAAAAAAAGGAAAAAAAAGGGAAAAAAAACAACGCAACAAAAAAGGCAAGAUCGAUGCUCACCGGGGAGGAAAAACACCAGAGGAGGAAAUAGAGAAAAGUGACAUCGAAGAAAACAUACCGGUGUAGAAGGCGAAGUGGCGACGGUGGUUAUUGCUGGCAGUACCAGUUUUGAGAGAUCUGAGGAGCGGCGGCCGAGGAGAAGAAAACCGUCAUCUGUUCAAGAAAGAGAGGAAAAAAGAAUAAAAAGGAGAGAAAACUCACCGGAAAGGAAUUUUAUGUUGAAAAUAGAAAAUGUACAAUGGCAGAGGAGGAGCGUACCUAACCGGAAAGGAAGAGGCAGAAAAGGUACAAUGGAGGAGAAGGAGGCGCCGUGAACAGACGGCAGCUUAUCUGGACCACUGCAACACAAAGAAAGCGAGAGACAGAGGAUGCAUGGCCGCUUCGCAGUUCGAAAUGGGAAUCAAAGAACAAAAAUAAAAAAAUAUCAGUUUAAACUCACAGAGUAAGCUCACAGUGAAUCAUACACUUCACCGGAAGUAAAAAAAAAAAGAGAAGAGAUAAAAAGAAUACAACGGAGAAAAAGGAGGAGGACAGAGACCGAAAUAGAGCAAAUAGAACAAUAGCGUCAAGAAGAAGGAGAGAGAGAAGUUAGGCGAAAGGAGAGGCAUUGGAUUUUGCCAGAUAGAGAAACACAGCAGAAAAAGCAGCAGGAGACACAUGGGUUACUGACAGAAAAAAAAAGAAAGAAGAGAAGGGGCCAACAGAGCUGAACCCGCGGCGCCAUGCGCGAACAACACAAUGCUGCUAACCCACAUGCGCGGCACGUGAGAGGACGACGAAAACUCCAGGUCACCACAGCCCUUCGCUCUUUAUCUACUGAUGUAAAAAAAAAAAGAGAAGAGAUAAAAAGAAUACAACGGAGAAAAAGGAGGAGGACAGAGACCGAAACAGAGCAAAUAGAACAAUAGAGCCAAGAAGAAGGAGAGAGAGAAGUUAGGCAAAAGGAGAGGCAUUGGAUUCUGCCAGAUAGAGAAACACAGCAGAAAACGCAGCAGGAGACACAUGGGUUACUGACAGAAAAAAAAAGAAAGAAGAGAAGGGGCCAACAGAGCUGAACCCGCGGCGCCAUGCGCGAACAACACAAUGUUGCUAACUCACAUGCGCGGCACGUGAGAGGACGACGAAAACUCCAGGUCACCACAGCCCUUCGCUCUUUAUCUACUUAUGUUGAAAAUAAUAAUAAUAAUUUGGUGGGCUCAAUUGGAUAGGGUCAGUUGGCGAAGCCCGACAUGCAAGUCCCUUCUCUCUGAUCACUGUUCAAUUAAAGUUGCAAUCAUGGGCCCCCAUUUCUCCUCCCAGAACAAAAAUAUCUGUUGCCAAUUCCAUUUUCGUCUUCAUGAAUCUUUUUUCAACGGUCCCUCUCGUGGUCUUUUUAAAGUUCUUGAAAUGCCAUUUUCACACGCCAGGGAUGAAAAAAAAGCAUCACGCUUUUAAUCAUGACCGCCACCACCAUUAACCAUUCUCCCACCCUCCCUCUCUCCCUCUGCCACCGCCCCACCCAUCACGGCUUCAAUCAUUUAUUCACCCAAUUUUUUUUUUUUUAAAAAAAAACAAAAUUCUGCAUAAAGCUAACCAUAACUUAAUCACCUUAACUCCCCCAAAGUUUUACCUUUGAGUGGUUCCAGAUUUCAAAUUAGUAAAACAAUAAUAAUAUGUAAUCAACUUAGUCAAAGUUAAUCAAAUCAGACUAAAGCAACCUAAUACCAGCCCAACAAAAAGUUACUGCACUGGAAUGUAAUAGAAAACAAAUCCUGUGGCCUUAAACAAAUGACCCCAAAAAAAAAAAAAAAGGAAAAGGCUAAUUAGACAAAGCAUGCGCGCUGGCAGACCAGCAUUCUUGAUUCUAUGCUUCAUCAACUACAGCAGCAGCUUCUAGCGAAAGCUGCUUUAACCAUUCAAACGUACGAUGACGUGACAAGGCCUGCUUUCCUGUUUGUUGCUGAUCAUGCUGCCUUGUCGUCCUCGUCAGACUCUCCGUCUCUUCUUCUUUUGCAUGGGCCUCGCUUACACUAGCACUUCUCCUCAUGCCAUUCUCCGCAACCCUCGAAGGAAUUGGUCCAGCCACUGCAUUUGACGAACAUUUGCAGCCGCUGAAGAACACAACCCCCUUUUUAUCGAGGAAUUUGUGCCUCUUUUUGAUCCUGUCCUUUUCCUCAGCUUUGAUUCUGCCGGCGCUACCGCUGCUAAUGGUACUGCUUGUGCUAUUGCGACUGCCGAAACCGGCGUUCUUACUGUUGUUUCGAAAUUUGAGGUCUUGAAUUGCAAUCUCUGGAGUUGUCACCAACCCGACCCGGAAAAUGCUCCACAGUGUCGAAUUUCGGCUGGAAUUCAUCCCAUUCUUGAUGCUAUUUGAGGAACGAAUUUGGGGUUUGGGACUGGGGUGGGAAAAUUGGAAGUGGUUACGAGUUUUGGGUCUAGGCUUGCGAUUAAUGCACGAGGAGCCCGUCCCCGUUGUGGUGGAGGUGGAACUAGUAGUGCCGCUGCUCGAGGAAUGGUGACUAUUUAAACUGCUACUUCUGCUGCUCAGACUCGUGAAGCCAACUGAAUAACAACGAUCCAUGGACUCGGACCUGCUCGUUGUCCGGCUGUCGUUUUGCAAUUUGGUGAUCAAGCCGCUUUCGGAACUGACCGAGUGGCGCAGAGGAAGAAUUUGGCCCUGGAAAAAGACUUCAUCAGCUACACACAUUUCUGAUUCUUUCGACAGAGAAUCCGUGGCCAAGGAGGAGCAGAAAUUGAAUUCCUCUUGAGAGUCGUGAAUGAUGAUGGGUACUGGAGAUUCUUUUCUUGAUACUAAGAACUGAUUCUCUUCAUUGGUGGGAAGGUCAGAAAAAGACAAUGCUUCUUCAUCUUCCUCUUCUCUUUCCACGACAUGACUACUGCCAACGGGAUUGGAAUGUCUCCUCGUUUCAUCAGCAUCGGCGUCGUUUCCAGCCAUCUCCAAAUUUGAACAAAGUCAGCGGCUAAUUGUCUGUUAAUUCCUCUCCAGUCCUCCGUUGAGAUGCAAAUUAAAGAUGAAGGGGAAGAGGACCGAGUGGAGGUAAGAAGGAAGAGAGAACUGAAAUACUCCACUACUGGUCUAAAACAACAUGAGUGGAGCAGGGGAACAAAUUUAUGUAAUGUUUUCUUGUUUGGAGGAGAGGAGAAGGGAGAGAAAAGUGUUGUUAGCGAAGGAUACAAAUAGAGGCGGCCUUUUUUCGGGAGCGUGGCUUGGUUCCUUUGCUGUCUCUUCGCUUUCAAAUGAUUAGGUGAGAGAACAACAGCAUCUGCGUUUUCAUUCGGUCUUGUCUUUGUAAGAAUUAGCACGCUAGAUGGAUGGUUGCAGUGACAUAUUAAAAACGUACAAAAUUUUGAGAGAUUUCCAAGUGAGGGUGGAAUUUAAAUCAUUGAAGCAAAAGUAAAGAGAGAUAAUCAAAUUUAGAUAGGCUGUCAAUUCCAGAUUUUGUUGGGUAUUUGUCCCAUUUGAGCGGGAGAGGGGCAGAAACAUCUACUCCAUGAAUGCUAAUAACAUACCAUAGUACUAAUAUCUUUUCUUCAUUUGUUUUUUCCUCGGCCUACCCAAACCAAAUGUUGCUUGAUCCGCAUCGUGCUUAGAAAAUCUCAUCCAUUUAUUGGUGCGUAGGUAAGAGAAUGAGAAUAAUUAGUGUGUUUGGACAGCCAAUUAUUUGGCCAAAUAUAUUUGCUGACAUCACCAUUACAAUUUUCAAUACACCUUUUUAUCUUCCCAAUUACCUUUUUAUCUCACAUACAUCACAUCACAAAAAGUGCUACAGUAAAAAUAUUUCAAAUAACUUACAAUCCAAACACACUCAAUAUUUCAUUCUACAAACCGCCUGCAAUUGUAUGAAAGGUCUCGAGUCGGCUGCUUUUAAUUAAAGAGACGGGAGUUUUGUGGUACUCGAAUAUUUUUUUUUUUUGGCUGGGACUUUUUGAAUUUUAUUUCAUGGGAAGCCUGUGAGUGACAACGUGACCUAGGCCAUUACUUUAUAACUUUCCUUGUUUAUCAUUGCCCAGAUCUCAGGCAAGAAUUAUUCUAGAGGUAAAACAAUAAUCAGGCCGCUUGGGGGGUUGGGGAACCUUCCUUCCGUUGAUUUUUUUUUAUCAAUAUCUGGUAAAGAAUCAAGGGGAAUAUAUGAUGAGCUAUUCUGCAUAACAUUCAUGCCGGAUUUCCUGUCUAUCUAUAGUAGAGGUGGCAAAUCAACCCACUUAACUAAAUUUACCCAUACCCGCCCAUGAAUAGAUGGGUAUGGGUAUCUUAAAUUUUUGUAUAUGGGUAUAAAUGGAUUACCCAAUAAUAAAUGGGUAUUAUUGGAUAACCCAUCAAACCCAAUUAACCCAUUUAGAAUUCUCUUCUCCCCAAGUCUCUUUUUUUCCCCCACCUUUUUUUUCAAAUUUUUUAUUUUGUUAUGAUGUUAACUACUUUUGUUUUAUUAUUAUUAUUAUUAUUAUUAUUAUUAUUAUUUGUUGGUUUUAUCUUAUUAUUUUAUUUUAUCUUAGUUUGUUAACUUGCUCAUUUUUUAGCAUUACCAAUUUAUGAUAAAUUUUAGCCUAUUUUCUUAUCUUUAUAAAAUGAAAUUUUAAAUUUAUAUAUGAAAAAAAUGUUAGGGGUUCAAAAUUUUUGGAUUAAGUUUUUAUAUUAAUUUUUAUAGUACUUAGUUCAAAUUUUUAUAUUCUUAUUAUUCAAUUAUUAAAUAAUAGGUAAUUUUGUGACAUAGAGUAUAAAUGAACAAAAAUUGAUAAUUAAGUUUAUUGAACAUUAUAAGUAAAUAUUUAAAACUAAUAAUGGGUACAAAGAGUGGUAUAAAUUGAUAAUUUAGUUUGCAAAAAUGAAUUUAAAUGAGUUUACAAAAAGUUAAAAUAAAUGGGUUAUAAAUGGGUAAUUGGAUUACCCAAUUCAUUUUUUGACUUACCCAUUUAUACCCAUCUAAUUAAAUGGGUAUAAAUGAGUUGAGUCACUUAUACCCAUUACCUAUUUUACCCAACCCAAAUCCGUCCAAAUCACCCAUUUUGACACUUUUAAUCUAUAGUACGCAGAACUGUAUGGGGAGGGAAGCUUAAAGUCUAGCAUCAAGAACCCUCGAGAAGUCGCAAAUUUUCUUAAAGGAAGGUAAGAGCCCGAUUGAUUGAAUCGUGAGCUUUUGUAUAAAAACUUUGAAAUGUACUAUUUUGAGACAUUUCAAGUCUAUUUUUUUUCCUAAUAAAAACUCCGACCACUUACUUACAAUAAUAUUCAAUAUAUGCUCCAAGUUUGGAUCAUGUAGUACCAAUUGAACUUUGAGAAGAGGCAACAAAGAAUUGAUCGUUCGCUGUUUUGCAUCAAUUAAAAGUGUCUCCUCAUAAAUUCCUUCUCUUCACAUGUAAAUUAACCACAACUUCAUGAUUAACCGGACAUUGGUAGGUAUUCGCUUCAUCUUCGCAUGGGAUCCUCAGUGUCACUUUUUUAUUGAUAAUUUAGUGCCACUUUUAUAUAUGUCACUUUUCAUGAUUAACUUGUCAUAUGUUGUUUAUUUAAAUUUUUUCUAUCAUUACGUGGUAAAUGAGAUUCACGCUGAAUUUGAUGUAAAUGCAAUGUGAGGCUGGCUAUAAAUUAUCCCUAACUUGGUUGGGGUAAUGCUCUCAUUUUACAACGACGUGACCCCUGACGCAGACCAAAAAGAGAAAAGCCAGAGAGGGCACUCACUACCAUUUUUAAAGAGACACACCAGAAAAUGUACUGCGGAUGCGUGAUCCAUAGAAUGCCACCAAGUCUAAGUAUUGAACUCACAUGAUUCCUGGGGCAUGGCGGUGGGCCUGGGCCAAUAGAUUUCUUGCUGAUUCAAGUCGUGAUCCACCCAGUUGUCUUGUCAUCCACGGUCCUUGAAGAAAAUCAAUACCAUUUCCUCUUUUUUGAUUGUCUUUCCCUUCUCAGGAGAAAGUAUCGCAAAUCUGCUACUGAAAUAGGAGCGGUAGAACGAACGAACGAAACUCUGAUAUACACAAAAAGGAUUGAGAUCGAGAGCUUGCGUUGCGUUCCACUCGGAGGCGCGCUCAACGCUCACCUCUCAUUGUGCCCUUCUAUUCUAUGGAGCCACCCCACCCCCUCUAAUAAUAAUCCGUCUUUGAGAUAAGAAAGAUUGCCAUCUUUAUUUCCGUUUUUGUGUCUCAUGCUGUCAACAUUUUAAGCAGUAAAAAGUAAUGCAUGGAUUUUAAAAAGUUAAAGUGGAGUAAUUGUCACCCUUCUUUUUUACUAUUAACUUUUAAUUAGUCCUUUCAAUUGUAUGUUGCAGCCUUCUAAAUUGACAAUAAUACUCCUAAUGCCCUACACGUCAUCUUCAUUUAUCCUCUCAAUCGUGAAUUGAAGCGAGAGCAUCUUGAAUUAAUUAAUUAACGUUAUUUUUUACUUAAUAACGCGGCAGCAAAGAGAAUUCAGGACUUAAGAAACCAGUGUUGAGAAAAAUUCUGCUAAUAAAGGAGAAAGGUCCAACUCCAACUAGACUAAGGGACGGCGUGGCGGUUGACGACAUUAAUGGUGGAAAAAAGCUGAGCAGCAGGGGGUAUAGCAUCCCCGGUGGCGGUAGGAGCAUCAACGGAAGCAGAAGCACCGCGACCAGGUUGGGGUGGGAGGUGUCCCUGGGUCCCAUAUCCUUGCUGCUUGUAAUCCUCCAAGUCCUUGUACUGCGUGUAGGGACUAGUAUUCACUGGCCCUCCCUUCUCUUCCUUGCCUUUUCUCUCCAUUUUGCCCUCCACCUUUAUUAUUACCACUUCUAUUUGCCCCCAAAAAAAAAAAUUUACUUUUUUUCUGUCGAAUUUUUCAGGGCUUCAAAUUGAUAUAGCUGAUCACUAGGUGGAUUGCUCUUUGAUUGAUUUUUGUGAAUUCGAGAAAUUCGUAUUAUAUGGCUUCUCUAUUUCGGCCUGCCGUUGCCACGAGUCAUUGACGUGUUAGGUGUUGAGGAAAGGGAGGCUAGAGUCACGUUGAGCCGCCAAUUCCACCGGGGGGAAUGCUUCUUGGUCUCUGCAUCUGCACUAAUCCCGAGCUUUUGGUUUGGACAUUAACCAAAUUUUGGGGGCUCACAGCCCUUUGUGCAGGUACUGAAUCGCACUUGUACGGAUUUCUGUCUUUGGCCCAAAUAUUCAGAGAGAGGUAUCUGCGGCUGUUUCAGGGUUUCGUCCUUAUCAUUUUGGGCCCUGUUAAUUCCUGUUUGGAAUAAUAUACCAAAAUCCAACCCAAAAAAAAAAACGUAGAAUACACAGAACAAGUGGGAAAUGACAGCCAAGCCAUUUUAAAUGCUCGAAAAUUUCUCCUGCAAUGCUACAAUUAUUAUUGCAUUAUUCUAGUACGUCUUUUUGCUCCGUAAAAGAUAAAAUGCAAUAAAGAGGAACAGCAUAGAUCCCAUGAAUUAAAUUUGUUGAAUUCGUUUCAAAGGAGGGAAAAGCACUGAGGAGCGGGCUCAAUUCUUUAUUGACAUUAUUAUUAUGCCAGCUUCAGCCCUCAUCGUUUUGUUUCUUUCUCCUUCGUGCCCGGUAAAAGCCAAGAUUCAAGUUUCGAUCAAGUCACCAUGAUCGUGAUCCUUUUGUUUUUAUGAUCAUCCUUCGUGCUAGUGCAUACUCUUAUCUGCUUCCAUAUAAAAAUAGACCAGUGCCUAAUUACUAGUUCUACUUCUGCAACUAAGUAAUUACUAGUAAUUAGUGUGCCGUGACCCCAUGAACCCCAUCCAAUAAUCGUGUGGUGGUAAUCGCAUCCACAAUUUCGGAUGAUGAAGUCCCUUUCGGCUUUCGAUUUUGAAAAUUAUAUCGCACCAGAAUCCAAAAUGAAUCUUCCAAACCAAUAUCUACCAUCCAAUCAAAUUGUUACAAUAUCUUUUUCAAGUUCAUGCAGUUCCAGACCUCCAAUGUCAACAUACACACUGCUGUCAUGUUAUUUUCCUUGACGUCGUUUUAAGAUUUGUGAAAAUAUUGGAAUCAAAGGCAUGUACAGUUUAGCAGACAAACGGAAUGAUAGAUGCAGACUUUCAAGAAAUUCUCUGUUUGGAUUGAGUGUGUUAUUUGAAAUAAUUACUGUAUUACUUUUUAUAAUGUGAUGUAUGUGAGAUAAAAAGAUGAAUUAAAAAAUAUGUCUAUAAUGCAAGUAAAAUAUUAUUUAAAAAAAGGGGUAUCCAAACAAUUCAUUGAUCGAUAAACGUUGAAGUGAAAAAAAAAAAAAAAAAAAAAACAACUGUACACCUUCCUGGUUUAUACUUUUUUUUUCCUGUUUUAUACUUAUGAUGCAAAGUUUUCUACCUCCAGCAGAACAACACCAAAUCAAACUGUAAUAAAUGCGCAAAACAUAGAAGGGAAUUUAUAAUCAUAACUUAAAAGAAACUAGUAAAACCAACUAGGCUCACAGCCCCUUUGAGCAAAGCCCAGCAAUUCACCAUUCAUGUAACCUGUCCUGUCCUCUUUUCAGUCUCUAGCUAGCCUAUAUCCAGCUAAUGACCACAGGGCUCCCCACAACAUGCUUCCCAUCUGACCACUCUAUUCUACCAAACUCGUUAGUAUUAGAUGGCAUUGAAGUUGCACUGAACGUCACCGUAUACGACUUCUUCUCGUAUGCUUUUGUGAAAGUUAAUGUAUCGGGUUCCACCGUAAUCUUAACUGCUGGACUUGUCGUCGAGAUUGAAACCUUGUACGUACUUCCUCCGGAGCCUCCCCCAACGUUGGUAAGCGUCCUCGUGUACUUAACUACGCUCUUGCUUCCGCCGCCGCUGCGGGAACCACCGCCCCCCCCAAUCACUUGAGUCUGCAGCGACACCGAAAAUGAAGGGUAGUUGAAAUCCCCGAUGCUGUAGGUUUUAUCGGCAUCACAGCUGUAAUUUCGCCUGGCGACCCCUUGAAUUUGCAGGGACGUGUAAUUUAAUGCGCAUAGGAAAUUGAGAUAAUCGUCGGUGGUCAGGUCAUAGACGAGUCCCGGGUUGAGGGCUGCGACGGGGUCCACAUGCCCUGCUCCAUGAUCGUACGGUGUCGAUGCCUUUCCGGUGGAGACAUCUAUGAGCUUCUCACCGCCGUUUUUGUAAGCGGUGUAGGCCGUGGUCAUGAGAGCCGAGCGGAUGGCGGCUGGGCUCCAGUCUGGGUGCGCCCCCUUGACAAACGCCGCCAAGCCGCUCACGUGUGGGCACGACAUUGAGGUGCCGGAGAUUAUGUUGAACUCCACGCGCCUCGGGUCCUCUGCCAAUCCGGUGGGGCCCACCGCCCCGGUCCACCCUGCUAUUAUAUUCACGCCUGGAGCUAUCAGGUCCGGCUUCAAGAUCUCGGGUGUGAUUGCAUUUGGUCCCCUCGAGCUAAAAGCAGCUACCACCGGCGACGGUUCGAUCCCCACCUUUGUGCCCUCGAAAAGAAUCGUCGCUGUUGGAUUAGCAUCCGACAAUACAUAAUCUCUAAUCGCGUCUCCUGAUUUCUGACCCACUGUGCUGGCCGGGAGCAAAUGGGCAUCCGCCACAAGCUCCUCACCGUUGGCGGCGGUAUUGGCCAAAACCAUCCCGGCCCCACCGGCUCCUUUCACCACAGCACCCUUUUGGACCCUAGGAUUGAUCCCACGGUCGCACAGGACAAUUUUUCCCUUAACUUUCUCAGGGAUUAACGUGCCGGUCAUGCAGAGAUUCCCAUUGGUGGAAUUGCUAGCGUUCCCUGCAUAGACAAAAGGCAGCAGCUUAGCGGGCAACGAGUCACCUUUGUAAAGCGAAACUCCAGAGAAAUUCUUGCCGUUGCCCAGGCUGACAUACGCCGGGAAGUCUCGGUCCAAAGUUCCGGCACCUACGGUGGUAAUCCAGGGUGCCAAGUUGGACAGAGUAUAAGCACUGGGUCCCGCAUUUCCAGCUGAACAGGACACGAAAAUUCCCUUCUCCAUUGCUGAAAAUGCUCCAAUAGCAACACUGUCUCUGUAGUAGUCGGCGGUGCCGCCGCCCAGAGACAAAGACAAGACAUUUACAGAGUCUUCGAUGGCCCUGUCUAUGGCGGCUAAUAUAUCCGAGCUAAAGCAGCCCCCAAUCCAGCAAACUUUGUAUACAGCAACUCUGGCACGAUAGGCCAUCCCACGAGCCGAACCGGAUGCAUAGCCGAAAAGGCUAGCUCCGCCUACGAUUGCUCCAGCAGCCGUGGUGGACGUGUGGGUGCCGUGGCCGUCGUCGUCUCUAGGAGAUUUUGAUUCUUUCGUAACAUCAAUUGGGCCGAGAGUAGCCUCAUAGCCCGUUGAAAAAUACCUCGCUCCAAUCAACUUCUUAUUGCAAUGAUUGGAAGUGAAGUUGGUCCCCGUCUCACAGGCUCCUUUCCAAGAAGCAGGUACGGGCCCCAUCCCGGUGUCAUCGAAGCUCUUGCUUUCGGGCCAGACGCCGGUGUCUAAGACGGCGACGAUGACAUCGCCCUCCGAGUCCGACUCCGGGAACAAGUUAGCACUCUGUUGGAGUCCUAAAAACGAAGGAGUGCGAGUUGUGUGGAGCUCGUACUUAACCUCUGGCAAAACAUAGAGGAUUCCGGGUUGGUCCUGGAGGGAUUUGGCUUCUUGGGCUGUAAGUCUAGUGGCGAACCCGUGAAUCGCGUUGUUGUAAGUGUACAACAUCUCCGCUGAUUCGGAAACCGAUUUCAGCGACGAGUCGUACCAGCGAGUAUGGUCAUCGAAACUCGCUGGCAUUUGGGAUUUCGCCACAUGAACUAUGUAGGUAUUCUUUUUCUGCUGUACAGCGGAUGCUGCCACGGAGACACGGCAGACACCCAGAAACACAAGAAAAGUCACCACUAGAAACAAUCUCGAGAACUUGAGAUCUCCCAUAUUUUCGUUUGUGGGUUGGCAAGAGAAGAAUGGAGGAGGAGGGAUCGAGAGAGUUAUAUAGAGUGGGAAGACCAAAGGGUCGUCUGCUUUUGAACUCAGUGGAGGUGUGAAACUGAAUUCAUGCACAAACAGAGGCUUGAGAAAGAUCAGUGAAGGACAAUUGGUUGAUGAGUGGGGACGGGGGACCUUUGUCUAGUUAUGGAUAUGAUUGCAAAGGACACGCACAAACAAAAACAAAAGGAGAUCAAGCCAGCUACUAGCUAAGGAGCGAGAAUGAAUGAGCGAGCGAGCGAAGAGAAAGGGGAAGGACUGAUAUAAUAGAGUGAUAUCAAAAUGAAUAUAUGAAUUGUUUCAUCAUUUGGGUAAUAUAGUACUUACCAGUUGAGAGAACUAUUGCUUGCUGGAGAGCAGCAGUAGGAGUACAUAUUAUUAGGUGUUGGUCUUUGUCACGUGCGUGCAGGGGUUGUGUUGAUCGAUAAUUGAUGCUCUUUCACUCAUUUAGCCAGUCAGUGGUACUGAUCCUAAAUGGAGCAUUGCUUUCUCCUUUUUUUUUUUUUUAUCUUUAAUAGUGCGCUUUUUCCAAGUCUGUUGCAGAAUGCAGAAGAAAGAGAAGACAGUGGGAGAUAGGUGGAAAAAAUAAAGCAGGUCUUUGAAUUCGCUACUGCGAGCCGUGGGAAAUAAUGCCCACACUCUUCUGUAUUCUGUUUUCCACGCUUUAUUUACUUUCAUUUGACCAUUGCUGCAAACAUUGGGGCCAUAGCCAGUUGCCAGUGGCAGUAGCCCAAUUCAAGAUGAUAAAUUUCUUCACCUACGUCGUCUUCCAUUGGUCUUUUUCUUUUUUCUUUUUUUUUUUUGUCGCUAGCCGACCGAAAAUACAGUAAAAGAAAGCCACUAAAAAUGAUAAAUCAUAAAUAAUAAUCGGUGAAAAUUAAGGUUUGAAUCAUUAAUCUUCUAUCAAUAAUUAAUACUUUUUAAGUCUGGAUAGUGAUCAAUAGACUAAAUGGCUGUGAACGUCUUUCAUUACUCAAUGGAGGUUGUUAUACUACUCUUUUUGUCUUUUCUUGAUUGGUGAAUCAGGGGAUAGAAACAGUAACACUUAAUAAUCCCCGGGGACAGGGGAGGGGAAGAUUCCUAGAUCUCGUUUGAUAAGUGAAUUUUUUAAAUGUUUAUUUAAAAUUUUAAUGUAGUUUAUUGUAAAAAUUGUAGGAAAAUUUUUUUAAGUGUGUAAAUUUUUAAAGUGUAUGAUUUAAAAAUUUUGAAAAGUUUUUUGAGAUUAUUAUAAAUAAAAUUAUUCAAAAAUUUAUAACAGAUAAAUUUGAUCAAAAACUUACUUGCCAAACAUACCCCCGUGUGAAAGAGGCAGCAGUAUACUACAAGGAGAAGGCCAAAUAAUAAGAAGCAAAGCGGGUAAAACUAGUAGAACUACAAUAAAAAAAAAUCUUGAAUAUUACGCCUAGUGGUUCACGGGUUUAUAGAAACUGUUUGUGGUUAUUGUCCACAAGGAUAGACAGAUAGACGGUGGGUGAGAGACGCGUAUGCUUCAACCAACUCAACUCAACUGAUAGAAACUGUGUGAUAAAUCAACUUCCCUGAGUUCCCUCGCCGCUUUGUGUUCGAUUUUAGGGGUCGUGGAUAAAUCAACUUGGGGUUUGUUUGGAUAGAGAUUUAUUAGCUAAAAUUUAUUUACUUACAUCAUCAUUACAAUUUCCAACGCACCUUUUUAUCUUCCCAAUUACCUUUUUAUCUCACAGACAUCACAUCACAAAAAGUGCUACAGUAAAAAUAUCUCAAAUAAUUUACAAUCCAAACAGAGCCUUGGGCUCCAUUUGGUGCAAAAUUCAAUUUUAAUUAAACCCAUCUCAUGCGAACCUCUCAAACAACCAAUCAAGACCAGCUUAAUUAGGUACUCGUGAGUUAAUUGAACUUUUGAAUAUACUUCAUUUUUCAAUAACCGACACGCACGUAUUUUGCUAAAACUAGGUAAAGCAAAAUCGCAAAUUCUACCAUAAUCAAACUCGAGCUUGAUAAGGCACGAUUGCGCAUUCUUGAUUGAGCUAUGCCUGCCAAGCAUAAUCGAAUUGAAAUAAUCAAAUGCAUAAUUUUGAUGCAGAAUUAAUGCGGGUUACAAGAGCUACCCAAUAAAUGAAUAAUUUUCGGCUAAAAUCUAUCUCGAGUCGAUUACUCUCUAAUCAUCUGUAUCUUCUUUCUUCUUAUUAUAGUAGUACUUUAUGAUUUUGUACACGGAAGUGGGGGGGCAACGAAUCAUGUGAACGUUUCUUGGCCAAAAAAGAAAUUUGUUAAAAAUGGUUGAUCUGAAGUAAGGAUGUGUAUCGAAAUCAAAUUCGAUAAUUUGAAAUUUUGAAAAAUUUGGACAUCAGAAAAUUUGAUCAAUUUCAAUUUCGAUUUUACAUAAUCGUAUUCGAAUUCGUAUCGAAUUCAAUUCAAAAUUCAGUAUUAACCAAUUUCAACUAAUUCAAUUUUUGUAUUAUAAUUAUACAUAUUUUUUGCUAAACUAAAUGCUAACUUUUGUAUAAUAUAUGUUUAUAAUUAUAACAUAAUAUACAACUAACUUAAUAAGACUGAUUAUUGUAUUGUUAUAUAGAUGUAUUAUUAUAUAAUAUAAAUUUUAUAUUACAUAUAAUAUAUAUAUAACAUACAAAUUUGAAAUCGAAAUAGUUAUUCAAGUUUUGAUUUCGAAAUUAAAAAUCCAGAUUUGAGAAAAUCAUAACAGAAUUCGAACCAAAUUCAUAUAAUUCGAAAAUAAAAACCCGAUUUCCACUCCAUUUUUCGAUUUACCGAUUUUGAAAUUUUCGAUUUCCUUUACUAUCCCGAAUUUUUUUUUUUUUAAAUGGAGGCUAGAGAGCGCUCCGCCAUCCUCCCCUGAAAUCGCGACGGAUCAGUUUUUUUUUUUUUUUUUUUUUGUGGUUUACGUCCAAUUUAGACCUAUAUAUAAUAUUCCAACAAACUAAAUGAAAGUAUUAAAAGUUCAGCCAAACGAUAAUUGCAGCAUGUACUCUUUUUCCACUCAUCCGUUUAUGGAUUUUGGAGCUCAGGCCAGUGCGACCUUCUGGACGCUCAGAUGGAGAUUAGGGAUGGCGGCUGGGGUGAAUUAAGUGCCUGUGAUAGAGUGGGGUUUUAGCUCGAGUUGAAGUGUGGAGGGCAACUGUGAAUUUGUCCGCCUCGGCACCGUCUCAGGCAAGGGCCGUGGUAGUACUUGAGGGGGCCUCUUCAGAAUUCGAUCUUUAGUCCUUUUGAAUAAAAGGUCUUGGGGAUGCUUUCUGGUACCACGGCCCUAGUCUAAGACGGUGUCGAGGCGGAUAAAUCCACAAUUGACCUCCACAUGAAGAAUACUCUCGAAAAAGAAGAGAUGACUCAUUACCGCCUAUGUGCUCCUGCAUCAUUAAACCCUAUACUUUAUUAUUUAGGCCCAAACUUGGGUAGACACAAUAUUUAAAAAUCCAAUGAUCUAGAUUAUAUUGCAGAGUUUAGUAAGAUAAUGUGAUCCAAUUUGAGCUAUUGAGUUUUGAAAAUUGGAUGCAUCCAAAUAUGAACAUUUUCUUUAAGGUUAACAUUAAGAGCGUUGACAAUUGAGUUUUCUUUUUGUUAAGGAUGAGCAUGACAGUCGUACGAAAGCUUAUAUUUGGAUUGAGAGAUUUCAAAAAUGAUUCGAAAUUCAUCCAAACCCUUCUAGUUGUUUACAUUAAUCAAGAGGUAUUUUGAUUUGUAAAUCACCAAGUAGGCCUCGUUUGGGGCCGCGGUAGUUUAUAAAAAAGCAUUUCAGAUACAACUAAUCUUUGAGAAAAAGUACUUUUUAAGGUGCCAGAAUUUGGCUACUUAAAUUACAAGAAAUUAAUUACCAAACAUCCUUAAAAAUAUUUUUAUUACUUAAAUUUUUUUUUUCUGUAAAUGCACCGUAACUUCAAAUAGGGCCAAAAGUAGUGUUUAAGAUGCAUUUAGAUAAUCAAUGAAUUGUAAACUCAAAUGUUUCUUAAAUAAUUCAAACAAUUAGAGCGAUUUGGAUAGAAUUAAAAUCCUUCAUCAAUUUUUUAACCCGAACGAAGCCUAAUAAAAAAAUUAGAAAAAAGAUUGAUUAGAGAGGGGUGGGAUACAUGGGACCUAGAGGUGAUGAUUACAUAAUUUGAUGCGUGAUGGACAACAGGUAAUCAUAUGUAUAGACUUGAGUUGGAUGAUGAGGACGAGGAGGAGGGAGUGUGAGUGAGGGAUUCGGUGUUGUAGUUCUUCCACCACGACUGACACUUUACACAAUAUGACACUCUACAAACUAUGAAUAGAGUCGUAUAAGCGCGUAUUAAAUCUACACCAGCGUUAUUGCGUGAAGCAGAAGCACUUUUUCCUCGCCCAAUAAAUUAAGCAUGCCACCACGAGGCUCAUGAAAUUAACUCGAUCUUAGUACGCACUUUUACAGUGUAAACCAAUGACACUGUCGUUGUAUGCACCAGACAACAAGUUCGUCUAACGUUUGAAGCGGGAGACACAGCCCACAAGUUGCACAAAUGAGCAAGCCAUCUUUCAAAGUGGAUCUUUGGAAAGCAGGCAAUCAUGCCCAUGCAUCAUUGGAGCCUUUAUAAAGGUUUGUUGGCCCUUUUUUUGCCUUAUAAACGAAGCCUCUUCCUGCUAGUAUUUAAUUUGCUCAUACCAUAGCGCUGACAAUUGGAAUAAAGGUCAUAAAGUCUUAUUAUACGCAGCGGGACUGGCUGUAAAGGAUGCACUCUUAUGGUCAUAAGGCAGUUAUGCCCGGAAUUUUGUUUUUCGCAGUUGGUUAGAACUUAGAACAGAAAGAAAGAGAAAUUCUGAGGUCUACAAACCGCCAACAUGUGAUGGGUGGUCUAAAGCAAGAUUGUUUUGUCUUGCCGGUGACUGAUAUCCUAUACUUUCCUGCCUACUUCCAACCUCCUUGCCCCCCCCCCCCCCCCAUAUAAUAUAUUUCAUUAGCUCUCUCUAGUCUACUUGUAAUGAGCAGACAAAGCAGUCAAUUUCUUUUUAGCUUUAUGGAGCUCUCCCCAACUUAUUGUUGGCCCUGGGAUUUGUCUAAUUUGUUACGGCUAUUUAUUUCUAUUAAAACAAACCUACAAAAGUGAGACCCCCCAAACAAAAAGAAAAAAUUCGUGGAAAAAAAAAUUUACGGAGCACUACUGUAAUUGGUGGGGCAAAACUGUGAGAUAUGAUGAAUCCGAGAGUUCUUCUAAUACAGUAGCCUAGUUUCCAUCACUGACACUAACUUUUCAUUGGCAUUUAUGGAGUAUACAGUAGAGGCACAAUCAUCCGUAGUUGGCAAUCAUGUAUGUAUAUUGGUUUCGUCUUGCAAAGAGCUUCUUAGGAUGCAUAUGAGAGAUUUAACAAACAAAUUAGAAGUCGGAUUUACGAAACUGUUACUUGUACUCCUCCUUUAAGAAAUCUUUUUGCAUCAUUCACAAAGUCGGGUUUAAUCUAUAUGAAUUGAUAUUACUAUAAUAAUCCAGUAGCAAUACAACCUUAAUGAUUUUACAUUUUGCAGAUCCUAGCGCGGUUCAGAAUUCUGAGCUUGAAUUACGCCGUCGUAUCAUUUGAGACCAGUGACGAAGAAGAAAAACAAGCCGGGAGCUGUAACUUUUUUGUUUCUUCAACGAACCAGCAUGUGACGGUGGCCUACUAAUAAUUCAGUUGUGAAAAGGAAAUUCUGCUGCAUUAGCUAGCUGGUGUGCCAUAUGCUCGCCCGCCAAUAAGUCAAUCCUGACAGACCAUCUUUCAACUCAAUGAGGUUGAUUACUGAUUACAUUUGUGUGCGUACCUGCUGCCAAGGAUAGAGAAGUUAUUAAUUGCCUGGCUCCAUGCUCUUUCCAUCACUGCAGCAGCGAUAAUAAUCUGUGAAGCCUAGAUCACCUCAAAUCCAGGGGGGCAAAAAAUAUAUAUACAUGAUAGUUAUAAUCAUGUCUAAGACCACCACUGAUUGAUUGAUCAGAUCAUGACACUGAGAAAGAAAGCUUUGUACGACCUGCAACGCGACAGUGAAGUUUUGGUCAUUCUCCUUUUGUUUAGGGAUUUUAAAUCACCCAAGUCAUUUGGUUAAUUGUCUUGUGAAAGUUACUUCGUGUUGGGCUAAAUUUGAAACCGACUUUUCUAGGAAUGGAGAUGGAAACAUGAAUGCGUAGAUGAUUAAAAAUGCUUCGAUCCUUUAAACUUGUCGUUUAACGCAUAUGCUUUAAUAUAUAUAUGUCUUAUAAUUGGUUGCUCGUGAAUAAUGAAUAGGAAUAUAAUGGAAGGACGGAUUAGUAGCACAUAUAAUAAGGAUACAAACGGGGCCAUCAAAUCCCCCAAGCUGUUUUCUUUUGUUUGUUUUGUUAUUGGGAAUAAUUUGAAAAACCUCCCUUAGGCUAAGUUUGGGAGUUUAGGAUAGAAAAGAGAAGAAGGGAAAACUUAAGUCACGAGAGAAGAGAAGAGAAAAGAAGGGAUUGUUGUGUUGUUUGGGGGUUUUAAGAAUUGGUGGAAUGAUUUUUGGCUAUAAAAGUCAUAAAAUAUUUGUUCAAUACAUUUUUAAGGAUAAAAUAGGUAUUUUAAAAAACUUUCAUAAGGUUCCUCCAACUUUCUCUCCAAUUUAGGAGGAAAACUUUUACUUACUACAGUAUUUAUCCUCUUAAAUCCUUCUAUUUCUCUUCUUUUCUUUCAUAAUAAAAACUAACAAACGAAGGAAAUGUUCACUUUCUCUUUUUUCUCCAAAUCAUCAACUCCCAAACGAGCCCUUAGAGUUUGUGGCAAAAAUAAAAAAAAAAAUAUAUAUAUAUAUAUAAUAAUAUAAUAAUACAAUAGUAAAUAGGAGCACGGGUGACAAGACAGAAGAUCCACUGAUCUAAUAUUUCAUUUCGAGUGAAGGGCGCCACCCCCUCGCUGUAUAUUCAUCAUGGACGUUCGCUAUCUGCCCAUCCGCACCAGAGCACCAGCUUGGCUGGCAAUUAGCUAGGCUCUUGUGCUACAUGAUCCGUAAGGUGGAAAUUGGGAGGUGGGUGGGUCUACUGCGUCUAUUCAAUUUGUAUUUUGCGAAAGACAUUAAGCAAGCAUCCUAUAAUAAUAUAUGAUAAGAAAAGCUUGUUUAAUUGUGUAUGUAUGACUAUGGGAGGACGCCACUUGAAGAAGCACGGAACUUCCCCUAGGAGAGCUGACCUAAUCAGCUCGGGGUGUUGAUGGGAGAGCUGACUUCAAGCCUGCAAGACAGAAAGGAUGAGCUAACUGAGGGGGCCCGAGGGUGGUCCCCGAGGGCACUCCGACGGUCAAGUUAGUUUUCCGGUGAGUGAGUUUCACAGGAAGUAGUAACUGUCCGGAGUAAAUUGUCAAUAGUGAGCGUACCUUGUACAGUGGAUCUGUGUUAUUAUUUAUACCUGCAAGGGAGUCCGGCCUCCGCACGACGCGGGACUUGCCCGGUAUAGAUAACAUCCCGCACAUAGGGGGAUUUCUCCCGACCUCCUCGGGACGGACCUUCGCCUCCCCUGGGAGCCCUAGCCGGUGCGGCCCAGGGCUGCUGCCAGGAGUCUGGGGGCCAAGGCCCAGCUCGGUUCCUCCUGGGCUGCCGCGUGUCCGGGCCCAGAACGGGGCCUCUGCACUAGCCCCCUAGAUUAGGUAGGACUGUCAGGCAGACCUAAUCUAUCUCCGCCACGUGGGAGGCCAGAACCGCGCACUACCCUGCCGAGGUCACCUCUGGUACAGUGCUGUCACAGGGACGCUGCUCCCACGUCCUUUCAGCUGUCCCGUCUCUUCGGUUUUCGUGCCCGCAUUAAAUGCGUUCACAUGGGGGUCGGUUCAAAUUCAUGCAACCGUUUUCCCUCCACUCUUCCCCCUAUAAAUAGGGGAUGCCAAAUACUCAUCUGUCCCAUUUGCCAUUUCCGCCUCUUCUUGUGCAUUUCAAGUUAUCACUCUCCCUGCGCACCCACAUUUCCAUUUUCCAGCAACCUCCGGCGUCCUGUGCCCAGAUUCCGGCGAGCCUUCAGUCCUUCUUCUGCCGUCAUCAGUAAGUCCUUUUUGCGACUCAUCUUCCCUCUUUGCGGUGUCUCUUUUGCCCUCUGCUACCUCCCACUUUUUAUGUCGGAGCAUUCCUCCUCCUCUGUUGCUGUAGUAUCAAUCCGCCGCCGAGCUCCCCGAAUCAUCGUUCUUUCCUCGCCUUCACCCUCAUCUUCGUCACCAUCUUCUCCUCCUCCCCCUUCCCCUUCUUCUGUUUCUAGUCCCAGCUUCCACACCUCAGACCUACUUGAGCCUACCGAUACCAUGAGUUCUCCGUCUGCCCACUCCCCUUCGGCCCAAGCCCUUGAGGAGGCAGCCGAGCUUCACGCGCUCAUCGCGCGGCAGGCUACCUCCACUCCCUCCCCCAGAUCCCCCCAUGAUUCCCCUGGCGGAGCCCAGGAGGGUGCCGGGGAGGAUAGGGACUCAUCGGGUGGGUCCCCUGCUCCCGAGCAGGGGAAUGAUCCUGAAUUCUCCUAUGGCUAUCCCGACCUGCAGGAGGCCACCCUCUCUCCCCAGGAUUUGGCCGAGCUGGUUAGGUCGUACUCCAUCCCUCCAACCUACGAGCCGAGGUUGGCCGGGCCCGACGACCGGGCCUGCCGGCCUCCCCCUGGCUUCGUAGCCAUCUAUAGGGAGCAGCUCAUCGCAGGGCUCCGUCUCCCCAUCCAUCCAGCUCUAACCGAGAUUCUGAACCACUGGGGGCUCAGAAUCACACAGCUCCAUCCUACCUCUAUCAGGAUCAUCACCGGAUUCCUGAUCUACUGCCUUCUCUGCGACAUCCCUUACUCUCUCUCCCUCUUCCGAGCUGCAUUCAUUCUUAAGGCCGCCCUCCCGGGGUGGUACUACUUCUCCCGCCGUGGCCCCCAGACCAAGGGAGGGAAAGGGGCCCAGGAGUUGUUCUUCGGCCUCCGCUCCUCCGUGAAGGAUUGGAAGGAGGAUUUCUUCUUUGUCAGAUCCACACAUUUUCCCCCCAAUGUGUGGAAGGUUGGGGGAGUCAAGGCCGACCCCUACCCGAAGGACCUGGACUACGAGACCCUCGGCCAGCUGUUGGGCUCCAAGGUGAAGCUCGAUGUCACCAGGAUCUCUACUGAGCAGAUCUCCGCAGCCGGGCUGAUGGGGACGUUGUCCGGAUCCUCCGGGGAAGUGGCGACCCCCCAGCCCGAACUCGACACCUGUAACACUGGCUCUGUCCCUGUCUUUAUUCAUAGCGUAUAGAUUUUCCCUUUUCUGCCUUUUACUGUCUUUCGUUUGGCUGACCUGGUGUUCAUUUCAGUGAGAAAGCUCUCCCAGCUGAUGGGCGUACCCCUCGAGGAGGUCACUCCCGACCCCCAGCCUGGAGCUGCUCGGGGGGCCCCAGGUGGGGCUUCCACCCCGGGGGGCGGCUCUGCCCCCCACAAGGAGACAUCACAACCAUCUCCCUCCAAGCAGGCCGCCAGCAAAAAGAAGGCGGCCGGUCAGAAGAGGGGCAGAGGGGACGAGCCCUCUCAGGCUGGGCAGAAGAGGCUCGCCCUGGUCUCCGCACAGCCUCCUCCUCUUGCGCGGGUCUCCGGGGGACCAGUCCACCUGGGCGUGGGCUCUGCCGAGGAGCAGGUCCAGGAGUCGACUCCCCCGAGCUUGUGGCACUUCCGCCACAUAACUCCCCUGAAGCCAGGCCAAGUCCCCACGAUGCAUGACCCCCGCCACUUCUGUCCGUCCUGGAAACUCUCCAUCAACGACCGAGCCCAGUUCCCCGAGGUGGCUCGCGAGCUGAUGGUGGGCUCGGUCCUUCCUAGGGACAGGAAGUGGAUGGAGCUGGCCAGUCCCUCCGAGCUCUUGGAUGCGUACUACACCGCCCAGGCCCAAGUAAGUAUCGCCCAUGGGUUAAUUUCCCCCCCGUGUCUGGGUUAAGUGAUGUGGCAUGCUGAUCUGCUUUCUCUCUUUUCCAGUCCAACGCUGCCGGUGCCGCCCUGGCUACCCGCUUCUCCGAGCUGUCUCCCGACUUGGAGAAGUUGCAGACGAAGAACCUGGAGGCGGAGAGGAAGCUUUCCCAGGCCCUCCAGGAGGCCAGCUCCCUUAAGGCCAAAUUAGACAAGGCCGAAAAGGAGUUGGACGCCGCCCAGGUCCAGCUCGCCUCCACCAGGUCGGAGCUCGACCAGGAGAGGGCUGGUGUGGCCAAGCUGAAGGGGGAGCAUGCCGUAGAGCUCUCCGGCACCGUCAGCCGAGAGCGGAAGAAGGCUGUUCGGGAGUUUAUCUCCUCCGAUCAGUUCGAGGUGGACAUCGCCCUCCUCAACCAGCCCUUCCUCCAGGUUGGCUCUACGCGGGCCCUGACCCAAGUGCAGGGCCUCAACCUACCCGGCUUCAACGUGGCGGACUUCAAGGACUACGAUCCUGCGGCCGAGGAUAGGCUGGACUGGCUCUUUGAUGGGUACCGGAAGGGGCAUGCCCUGAAGAGCCUGGUCCGCCGAACCGACGUAGGAGCAGACCUAGAGGAGAUUCCCCUGGAGGAGGACGGGUCUCCAGGCAGAGCUGCCGGGAAAGAGCCGGUGGCCUAGGGCGGUAGCCACUCCAGAAACCCUUUCUGUCUUUUUGUAAGGAUGUGACCAUGCUCCAGUUGAAAAUGCUCUUGGAGGUCCAUCCAGGACGGAAGGGGUUUCCUGCUUCCGGGCUCCUGAAUAGCCUUCACCAUACGCCUCUCACCAUGCUUAAGGUGUACUUUCAACUUCCACCCCGGUCGGGCCACCAGCAGGUAGAACAGACAUCGAAGGAGAUUAUCAGCUCGGAAAUUUUACGGUAGAUAGGCAGGGCGCUUUGUAAUAGAUAGGCAGCUCGGAAGCUUUGUAAUAGAUAGGCUUGCAAUGUAUACACAAGACUUCGAAGAGUUAUUUUCUUCUUUCCUUGCCCACUCGCAAUGCUAUGUGCCGACCUCUUGGGUCGAACACCUCACACCUCACCCCUUGGGGCUGAGUGCUUUAAAUAUUAAGCGCGUCCUUGCCGACCUCCUAGGUCGAACAAUUCGCACUUCCGACCGAGUACUUUAAGCAUUAAGUGCGUUCUUGCCGACUUCCCGGGUCGAACACUUCGCACUUUAUUAAGCGCGUUCGUGCCGACCUCCUGGGUCGAACACUUCACACUUCAGAAUAUUUUAAUCAUUAAGUGCGUUCUUACCGACCUCUUGGGUCGAACACUUCACACUUCAUUGAGAACACUUCACACUUCAUUAAGCGCGUUCGUGCCGACCUCCUGGGUCAAACACUUCACACUUCAUUGAGCGCGUUCGUGCCGACCUCCUGGGUCGAACACUUCACACUUCAUUGAGCGCGUUCAUGCCGACCUCCUGGGUCGAACACUUCACACUUCAGAAUAUUUUAAGCAUUAAGUGCGUUCUUGCCGACCUCCUGGGUCGAACACUUCACACUUCAUUGAGCGCGUUCAUGCCGACCUCCUGGGUCGAACACUUCACACUUCAGAAUAUUUUAAGCAUUAAGUGCGUUCUUGCCGACCUCCUGGGUCGAACACUUCACACUUCAUUGAGCGCGUUCAUGCCGACCUCCUGGGUCGAACACUUCACACUUCAGAAUAUUUUAAGCAUUAAGUGCGUUCUUGCCGACCUCCUGGGUCGAACACUUCACACUUCAUUGAGCGCGUUCAUGCCGACCUCUUGGGUCGAACACUUCACACUUCAAUUGUGCCCUUCUAUUCUAUGGAGCCACCCCACCCCUCUAAUAAUAAUCCGUCUUUGAGAUAAGAAAGAUUGCCAUCUUUAUUUCCGUUUUUGUGUCUCAUGCUGUCAACAUUUUAAGCAGUAAAAAGUAAUGCAUGGAUUUUAAAAAGUUAAAGUGGAGUAAUUGUCACCCUUCUUUUUUACUAUUAACUUUUAAUUAGUCCUUUCAAUUGUAUGUUGCAGCCUUCUAAAUUGACAAUAAUACUCCUAAUGCCCUACACGUCAUCUUCAAUCCUCUCAAUCGUGAAUUGAAGCGAGAGCAUCUUGAAUUAAUUAAUUAACGUUAUUUUUUACUUAAUAACGCGGCAGCAAAGAGAAUUCAGGACUUAAGAAACCAGUGUUGAGAAAAAUUCUGCUAAUAAAGGAGAAAGGUCCAACUCCAACUAGACUAAGGGACGGCGUGGCGGUUGACGACAUUAAUGGUGGAAAAAAGCUGAGCAGCAGGGGGUAUAGCAUCCCCGGUGGCGGUAGGAGCAUCAACGGAAGCAGAAGCACCGCGACCAGGUUGGGGUGGGAGGUGUCCCUGGGUCCCAUAUCCUUGCUGCUUGUAAUCCUCCAAGUCCUUGUACUGCGUGUAGGGACUAGUAUUCACUGGCCCUCCCUUCUCUUCCUUGCCUUUUCUCUCCAUUUUGCCCUCCACCUUUAUUAUUACCACUUCUAUUUGCCCCCAAAAAAAAAAUUUACUUUUUUUCUGUCGAAUUUUUCAGGGCUUCAAAUUGAUAUAGCUGAUCACUAGGUGGAUUGCUCUUUGAUUGAUUUUUGUGAAUUCGAGAAAUUCGUAUUAUAUGGCUUCUCUAUUUCGGCCUGCCGUUGCCACGAGUCAUUGACGUGUUAGGUGUUGAGGAAAGGGAGGCUAGAGUCACGUUGAGCCGCCAAUUCCACCGGGGGAAUGCUUCUUGGUCUCUGCAUCUGCACUAAUCCCGAGCUUUUGGUUUGGACAUUAACCAAAUUUUGGGGGCUCACAGCCCUUUGUGCAGGUACUGAAUCGCACUUGUACGGAUUUCUGUCUUUGGCCCAAAUAUUCAGAGAGAGGUAUCUGCGGCUGUUUCAGGGUUUCGUCCUUAUCAUUUUGGGCCCUGUUAAUUCCUGUUUGGAAUAAUAUACCAAAAUCCAACCCAAAAAAAAAAACGUAGAAUACACAGAACAAGUGGGAAAUGACAGCCAAGCCAUUUUAAAUGCUCGAAAAUUUCUCCUGCAAUGCUACAAUUAUUAUUGCAUUAUUCUAGUACGUCUUUUUGCUCCGUAAAAGAUAAAAUGCAAUAAAGAGGAACAGCAUAGAUCCCAUGAAUUAAAUUUGUUGAAUUCGUUUCAAAGGAGGGAAAAGCACUGAGGAGCGGGCUCAAUUCUUUAUUGACAUUAUUAUUAUGCCAGCUUCAGCCCUCAUCGUUUUGUUUCUUUCUCCUUCGUGCCCGGUAAAAGCCAAGAUUCAAGUUUCGAUCAAGUCACCAUGAUCGUGAUCCUUUUGUUUUUAUGAUCAUCCUUCGUGCUAGUGCAUACUCUUAUCUGCUUCCAUAUAAAAAUAGACCAGUGCCUAAUUACUAGUUCUACUUCUGCAACUAAGUAAUUACUAGUAAUUAGUGUGCCGUGACCCCAUGAACCCCAUCCAAUAAUCGUGUGGUGGUAAUCGCAUCCACAAUUUCGGAUGAUGAAGUCCCUUUCGGCUUUCGAUUUUGAAAAUUAUAUCGCACCAGAAUCCAAAAUGAAUCUUCCAAACCAAUAUCUACCAUCCAAUCAAAUUGUUACAAUAUCUUUUUCAAGUUCAUGCAGUUCCAGACCUCCAAUGUCAACAUACACACUGCUGUCAUGUUAUUUUCCUUGACGUCGUUUUAAGAUUUGUGAAAAUAUUGGAAUCAAAGGCAUGUACAGUUUAGCAGACAAACGGAAUGAUAGAUGCAGACUUUCAAGAAAUUCUCUGUUUGGAUUGAGUGUGUUAUUUGAAAUAAUUACUGUAUUACUUUUUAUAAUGUGAUGUAUGUGAGAUAAAAAGAUGAAUUAAAAAAUAUGUCUAUAAUGCAAGUAAAAUAUUAUUUAAAAAAAGGGGUAUCCAAACAAUUCAUUGAUCGAUAAACGUUGAAGUGAAAAAAAAAAAAAAAAAAAAAAAACAACUGUACACCUUCCUGGUUUAUACUUUUUUUUUCCUGUUUUAUACUUAUGAUGCAAAGUUUUCUACCUCCAGCAGAACAACACCAAAUCAAACUGUAAUAAAUGCGCAAAACAUAGAAGGGAAUUUAUAAUCAUAACUUAAAAGAAACUAGUAAAACCAACUAGGCUCACAGCCCCUUUGAGCAAAGCCAGCAAUUCACCAUUCAUGUAACCUGUCCUGUCCUCUUUUCAGUCUCUAGCUAGCCUAUAUCCAGCUAAUGACCACAGGGCUCCCCACAACAUGCUUUCCCAUCUGACCACUCUAUUCUACCAAACUCGUUAGUAUUAGAUGGCAUUGAAGUUGCACUGAACGUCACCGUAUACGACUUCUUCUCGUAUGCUUUUGUGAAAGUUAAUGUAUCGGGUUCCACCGUAAUCUUAACUGCUGGACUUGUCGUCGAGAUUGAAACCUUGUACGUACUUCCUCCGGAGCCUCCCCCAACGUUGGUAAGCGUCCUCGUGUACUUAACUACGCUCUUGCUUCCGCCGCCGCUGCGGAACCACCGCCCCCCCAAUCACUUGAGUCUGCAGCGACACCGAAAAUGAAGGGUAGUUGAAAUCCCCGAUGCUGUAGGUUUUAUCGGCAUCACAGCUGUAAUUUCGCCUGGCGACCCCUUGAAUUUGCAGGACGUGUAAUUUAAUGCGCAUAGGAAAUUGAGAUAAUCGUCGGUGGUCAGGUCAUAGACGAGUCCCGGGUUGAGGGCUGCGACGGGGUCCACAUGCCCUGCUCCAUGAUCGUACGGUGUCGAUGCCUUUCCGGUGGAGACAUCUAUGAGCUUCUCACGCCGUUUUUGUAAGCGGUGUAGGCCGUGGUCAUGAGAGCCGAGCGGAUGGCGGCUGGGCUCCAGUCUGGGUGCGCCCCCUUGACAAACGCCGCCAAGCCGCUCACGUGUGGGCACGACAUUGAGGUGCCGGAGAUUAUGUUGAACUCCACGCGCCUCGGGUCCUCUGCCAAUCCGGUGGGGCCCACCGCCCCGGUCCACCCUGCUAUUAUAUUCACGCCUGGAGCUAUCAGGUCCGGCUUCAAGAUCUCGGGUGAUUGCAUUUGGUCCCCUCGAGCUAAAAGCAGCUACCACCGGCGACGGUUCGAUCCCCACCUUUGUGCCCUCGAAAAGAAUCGUCGCUGUUGGAUUAGCAUCCGACAAUACAUAAUCUCUAAUCGCGUCUCCUGAUUUCUGACCCACUGUGCUGGCCGGGAGCAAAUGGGCAUCCGCCACAAGCUCCUCACCGUUGGCGGCGGUAUUGGCCAAAACCAUCCCGGCCCCACCGGCUCCUUUCACCACAGCACCCUUUUGGACCCUAGGAUUGAUCCCACGGUCGCACAGGACAAUUUUUCCCUUAACUUUCUCAGGGAUUAACGUGCCGGUCAUGCAGAGAUUCCCAUUGGUGGAAUUGCUAGCGUUCCCUGCAUAGACAAAAGGCAGCAGCUUAGCGGGCAACGAGUCACCUUUGUAAAGCGAAACUCCAGAGAAAUUCUGCCGUUGCCCAGGCUGACAUACGCCGGGAAGUCUCGGUCCAAAGUUCCGGCACCUACGGUGGUAAUCCAGGGUGCCAAGUUGGACAGAGUAUAAGCACUGGGUCCCGCAUUUCCAGCUGAACAGGACACGAAAAUUCCCUUCUCCAUUGCUGAAAAUGCUCCAAUAGCAACACUGUCUCUGUAGUAGUCGGCGGUGCCGCCGCCCAGAGACAAAGACAAGACAUUUACAGAGUCUUCGAUGGCCCUGUCUAUGGCGGCUAAUAUAUCCGAGCUAAAGCAGCCCCCAAUCCAGCAAACUUUGUAUACAGCAACUCUGGCACGAUAGGCCAUCCCACGAGCCGAACCGGAUGCAUAGCCGAAAAGGCUAGCUCCGCCUACGAUUGCUCCAGCAGCCGUGGUGGACGUGUGGGUGCCGUGGCCGUCGUCGUCUCUAGGAGAUUUUGAUUCUUUCGUAACAUCAAUUGGGCCGAGAGUAGCCUCAUAGCCGUUGAAAAAUACCUCGCUCCAAUCAACUUCUUAUUGCAAUGAUUGGAAGUGAAGUUGGUCCCCGUCUCACAGCUCCUUUCCAAGAAGCAGGUACGGGCCCCAUCCCGGUGUCAUCGAAGCUCUUGCUUUCGGGCCAGACGCCGGUGUCUAAGACGGCGACGAUGACAUCGCUCCGAGUCCGACUCCGGGAACAAGUUAGCACUCUGUUGGAGUCCUAAAAACGAGGAGUGCGAGUUGUGUGGAGCUCGUACUUAACCUCUGGCAAAACAUAGAGGAUUCCAGGUUGAUCCUGGAGGGAUUUGGCUUCUUGGGCUGUAAGUCUAGUGGCGAACCCGUGAAUCGCGUUGUUGUAAGUGUACAACAUCUCCGCUGAUUCGGAAACCGAUUUCAGCGACGAGUCGUACCAGCGAGUAUGGUCAUCGAAACUCGCUGGCAUUUGGGAUUUCGCCACAUGAAUAUGUAGGUAUUCUUUUUCUGCUGUACAGCGGAUGCUGCCACGGAGACACGGCAGACACCCAGAAACACAAGAAAAGUCACCUAGAAACAAUCUCGAGAACUUGAGAUCUCCCAUAUUUUCGUUUGUGGGUUGGCAAGAGAAGAAUGGAGGAGGAGGGAUCGAGAGAGUUAUAUAGAGUGGGACCAAAGGGUCGUCUGCUUUUGAACUCAGUGGAGGUGUGAAACUGAAUUCAUGCACAAACAGAGGCUUGAGAAAGAUCAGUGAAGGACAAUUGGUUGAUGAGUGGGGACGGACCUUUGUCUAGUUAUGGAUAUGAUUGCAAAGGACACGCACAAACAAAAACAAAAGGAGAUCAAGCCAGCUACUAGCUAAGGAGCGAGAAUGAAUGAGCGAGCGAGCGAAGAGAAAGGGAAGACUGAUAUAAUAGAGUGAUAUCAAAAUGAAUAUAUGAAUUGUUUCAUCAUUUGGGUAAUAUAGUACUUACCAGUUGAGAGAACUAUUGCUUGCUGGAGAGCAGCAGUAGGAGUACAUAUUAUUAGGUGUUGGUCUUGUCACGUGCGUGCAGGGGUUGUGUUGAUCGAUAAUUGAUGCUCUUUCACUCAUUUAGCCAGUCAGUGGUACUGAUCCUAAAUGGAGCAUUGCUUUCUCCUUUUUUUUUUUUUUAUCUUUAAUAGUGCGCUUUUUCCAAGUCUGUUGCAGAAUGCAGAAGAAAGAGAAGACAGUGGGAGAUAGGUGGAAAAAAUAAAGCAGGUCUUUGAAUUCGCUACUGCGAGCCGUGGGAAAUAAUGCCCACACUCUUCUGUAUUCUGUUUUCCACGCUUUAUUUACUUUCAUUUGACCAUUGCUGCAAACAUUGGGGCCAUAGCCAGUUGCCAGUGGCAGUAGCCCAAUUCAAGAUGAUAAAUUUCUUCACCUACGUCGUCUUCCAUUGGUCUUUUUCUUUUUUCUUUUUUUUUUUUGUCGCUAGCCGACCGAAAAUACAGUAAAAGAAAGCCACUAAAAAUGAUAAAUCAUAAAUAAUAAUCGGUGAAAAUUAAGGUUUGAAUCAUUAAUCUUCUAUCAAUAAUUAAUACUUUUUAAGUCUGGAUAGUGAUCAAUAGACUAAAUGGCUGUGAACGUCUUUCAUUACUCAAUGGAGGUUGUUAUACUACUCUUUUUGUCUUUUCUUGAUUGGUGAAUCAGGGGAUAGAAACAGUAACACUUAAUAAUCCCGGGGACAGGGGAGGGGAAGAUUCCUAGAUCUCGUUUGAUAAGUGAAUUUUUUAAAUGUUUAUUUAAAAUUUUAAUGUAGUUUAUUGUAAAAAUUGUAGGAAAAUUUUUUUAGUGUGUAAAUUUUUAAAGUGUAUGAUUUAAAAAUUGAAAAGUUUUUUGAGAUUAUUAUAAAUAAAAUUAUUCAAAAAUUUAUAACAGAUAAAUUUGAUCAAAAACUUACUUGCCAAACAUACCCCGUGUGAAAGAGGCAGCAGUAUACUACAAGGAGAAGGCCAAAUAAUAAGAAGCAAAGCGGGUAAACUAGUAGAAUACAAUAAAAAAAAUCUUGAAUAUUACGCCUAGUGUGUUCACGGGUUUAUAGAAACUGUUUGUGGUUAUUGUCCACAAGGAUAGACAGAUAGAGCGGUGGGUGAGAGACGCGUAUGCUUCAACCAACUCAACUCAACUGAUAGAAACUGUGUGAUAAAUCAACUUCCCUGAGUUCCCUCGCCGCUUUGUGUUCGAUUUUAGGGGUCGUGGAUAAAUCAACUUGGGGUUUGUUUGGAUAGAGAUUUAUUAGCUAAAAUUUAUUUACUUACAUCAUCAUUACAAUUUCCAACGCACCUUUUUAUCUUCCCAAUUACCUUUUUAUCUCACAGACAUCACAUCACAAAAAGUGCUACAGUAAAAAUAUCUCAAAUAAUUUACAAUCCAAACAGAGCCUUGGGCUCCAUUUGGUGCAAAAUUCAAUUUUAAUUAAACCCAUCUCAUGCGAACCUCUCAAACAACCAAUCAAGACCAGCUUAAUUAGGUACUCGUGAGUUAAUUGAACUUUUGAAUAUACUUCAUUUUUCAAUAACCGACACGCACGUAUUUUGCUAAAACUAGGUAAAGCAAAAUCGCAAAUUCUACCAUAAUCAAACUCGAGCUUGAUAAGGCACGAUUGCGCAUUCUUGAUUGAGCUAUGCCUGCCAAGCAUAAUCGAAUUGAAAUAAUCAAAUGCAUAAUUUUGAUGCAGAAUUAAUGCGGGUUACAAGAGCUACCCAAUAAAUGAAUAAUUUUCGGCUAAAAUCUAUCUCGAGUCGAUUACUCUCUAAUCAUCUGUAUCUUCUUUCUUCUUAUUAUAGUAGUACUUUAUGAUUUUGUACACGGAAGUGGGGGGGCAACGAAUCAUGUGAACGUUUCUUGGCCAAAAAAGAAAUUUGUUAAAAAUGGUUGAUCUGAAGUAAGGAUGUGUAUCGAAAUCAAAUUCGAUAAUUUGAAAUUUUGAAAAAUUUGGACAUCAGAAAAUUUGAUCAAUUUCAAUUUCGAUUUUACAUAAUCGUAUUCGAAUUCGUAUCGAAUUCAAUUCAAAAUUCAGUAUUAACCAAUUUCAACUAAUUCAAUUUUUGUAUUAUAAUUAUACAUAUUUUUUGCUAAACUAAAUGCUAACUUUUGUAUAAUAUAUGUUUAUAAUUAUAACAUAAUAUACAACUAACUUAAUAAGACUGAUUAUUGUAUUGUUAUAUAGAUGUAUUAUUAUAUAAUAUAAAUUUUAUAUUACAUAUAAUAUAUAUAUAACAUACAAAUUUGAAAUCGAAAUAGUUAUUCAAGUUUUGAUUUCGAAAUUAAAAAUCCAGAUUUGAGAAAAUCAUAACAGAAUUCGAACCAAAUUCAUAUAAUUCGAAAAUAAAAACCCGAUUUCCACUCCAUUUUUCGAUUUACCGAUUUUGAAAUUUUCGAUUUCCUUUACUAUCCCGAAUUUUUUUUUUUUAAAUGGAGGCUAGAGAGCGCUCCGCCAUCCUCCCCUGAAAUCGCGACGGAUCAGUUUUUUUUUUUUUUUUUUUUGUGGUUUACGUCCAAUUUAGACCUAUAUAUAAUAUUCCAACAAACUAAAUGAAAGUAUUAAAAGUUCAGCCAAACGAUAAUUGCAGCAUGUACUCUUUUUCCACUCAUCCGUUUAUGGAUUUUGGAGCUCAGGCCAGUGCGACCUUCUGGACGCUCAGAUGGAGAUUAGGGAUGGCGGCUGGGGUGAAUUAAGUGCCUGUGAUAGAGUGGGGUUUUAGCUCGAGUUGAAGUGUGGAGGGCAACUGUGAAUUUGUCCGCCUCGGCACCGUCUCAGGCAAGGGCCGUGGUAGUACUUGAGGGGGCCUCUUCAGAAUUCGAUCUUUAGUCCUUUUGAAUAAAAGGUCUUGGGAUGCUUUCUGGUACCACGGCCCUAGUCUAAGACGGUGUCGAGGCGGAUAAAUCCACAAUUGACCUCCACAUGAAGAAUACUCUCGAAAAAGAAGAGAUGACUCAUUACCGCCUAUGUGCUCCUGCAUCAUUAAACCCUAUACUUUAUUAUUUAGGCCCAAACUUGGGUAGACACAAUAUUUAAAAAUCCAAUGAUCUAGAUUAUAUUGCAGAGUUUAGUAAGAUAAUGUGAUCCAAUUUGAGCUAUUGAGUUUUGAAAAUUGGAUGCAUCCAAAUAUGAACAUUUUCUUUAAGGUUAACAUUAAGAGCGUUGACAAUUGAGUUUUCUUUUUGUUAAGGAUGAGCAUGACAGUCGUACGAAAGCUUAUAUUUGGAUUGAGAGAUUUCAAAAAUGAUUCGAAAUUCAUCCAAACCCUUCUAGUUGUUUACAUUAAUCAAGAGGUAUUUUGAUUUGUAAAUCACCAAGUAGGCCUCGUUUGGGGCCGCGGUAGUUUAUAAAAAAGCAUUUCAGAUACAACUAAUCUUUGAGAAAAAGUACUUUUUAAGGUGCCAGAAUUUGGCUACUUAAAUUACAAGAAAUUAAUUACCAAACAUCCUUAAAAAUAUUUUUAUUACUUAAAUUUUUUUUUUCUGUAAAUGCACCGUAACUUCAAAUAGGGCCAAAAGUAGUGUUUAAGAUGCAUUUAGAUAAUCAAUGAAUUGUAAACUCAAAUGUUUCUUAAAUAAUUCAAACAAUUAGAGCGAUUUGGAUAGAAUUAAAAUCCUUCAUCAAUUUUUUAACCCGAACGAAGCCUAAUAAAAAAAUUAGAAAAAAGAUUGAUUAGAGAGGGGUGGGAUACAUGGGACCUAGAGGUGAUGAUUACAUAAUUUGAUGCGUGAUGGACAACAGGUAAUCAUAUGUAUAGACUUGAGUUGGAUGAUGAGGACGAGGAGGAGGGAGUGUGAGUGAGGGAUUCGGUGUUGUAGUUCUUCCACCACGACUGACACUUUACACAAUAUGACACUCUACAAACUAUGAAUAGAGUCGUAUAAGCGCGUAUUAAAUCUACACCAGCGUUAUUGCGUGAAGCAGAAGCACUUUUUCCUCGCCCAAUAAAUUAAGCAUGCCACCACGAGGCUCAUGAAAUUAACUCGAUCUUAGUACGCACUUUUACAGUGUAAACCAAUGACACUGUCGUUGUAUGCACCAGACAACAAGUUCGUCUAACGUUUGAAGCGGGAGACACAGCCCACAAGUUGCACAAAUGAGCAAGCCAUCUUUCAAAGUGGAUCUUUGGAAAGCAGGCAAUCAUGCCCAUGCAUCAUUGGAGCCUUUAUAAAGGUUUGUUGGCCCUUUUUUUGCCUUAUAAACGAAGCCUCUUCCUGCUAGUAUUUAAUUUGCUCAUACCAUAGCGCUGACAAUUGGAAUAAAGGUCAUAAAGUCUUAUUAUACGCAGCGGGACUGGCUGUAAAGGAUGCACUCUUAUGGUCAUAAGGCAGUUAUGCCCGGAAUUUUGUUUUUCGCAGUUGGUUAGAACUUAGAACAGAAAGAAAGAGAAAUUCUGAGGUCUACAAACCGCCAACAUGUGAUGGGUGGUCUAAAGCAAGAUUGUUUUGUCUUGCCGGUGACUGAUAUCCUAUACUUUCCUGCCUACUUCCAACCUCCUUGCCCCCCCCCCCCCCCAUAUAAUAUAUUUCAUUAGCUCUCUCUAGUCUACUUGUAAUGAGCAGACAAAGCAGUCAAUUUCUUUUUAGCUUUAUGGAGCUCUCCCCAACUUAUUGUUGGCCCUGGGAUUUGUCUAAUUUGUUACGGCUAUUUAUUUCUAUUAAAACAAACCUACAAAAGUGAGACCCCCCAAACAAAAAGAAAAAAUUCGUGGAAAAAAAAAUUUACGGAGCACUACUGUAAUUGGUGGGGCAAAACUGUGAGAUAUGAUGAAUCCGAGAGUUCUUCUAAUACAGUAGCCUAGUUUCCAUCACUGACACUAACUUUUCAUUGGCAUUUAUGGAGUAUACAGUAGAGGCACAAUCAUCCGUAGUUGGCAAUCAUGUAUGUAUAUUGGUUUCGUCUUGCAAAGAGCUUCUUAGGAUGCAUAUGAGAGAUUUAACAAACAAAUUAGAAGUCGGAUUUACGAAACUGUUACUUGUACUCCUCCUUUAAGAAAUCUUUUUGCAUCAUUCACAAAGUCGGGUUUAAUCUAUAUGAAUUGAUAUUACUAUAAUAAUCCAGUAGCAAUACAACCUUAAUGAUUUUACAUUUUGCAGAUCCUAGCGCGGUUCAGAAUUCUGAGCUUGAAUUACGCCGUCGUAUCAUUUGAGACCAGUGACGAAGAAGAAAAACAAGCCGGGAGCUGUAACUUUUUUGUUUCUUCAACGAACCAGCAUGUGACGGUGGCCUACUAAUAAUUCAGUUGUGAAAAGGAAAUUCUGCUGCAUUAGCUAGCUGGUGUGCCAUAUGCUCGCCCGCCAAUAAGUCAAUCCUGACAGACCAUCUUUCAACUCAAUGAGGUUGAUUACUGAUUACAUUUGUGUGCGUACCUGCUGCCAAGGAUAGAGAAGUUAUUAAUUGCCUGGCUCCAUGCUCUUUCCAUCACUGCAGCAGCGAUAAUAAUCUGUGAAGCCUAGAUCACCUCAAAUCCAGGGGGGCAAAAAAUAUAUAUACAUGAUAGUUAUAAUCAUGUCUAAGACCACCACUGAUUGAUUGAUCAGAUCAUGACACUGAGAAAGAAAGCUUUGUACGACCUGCAACGCGACAGUGAAGUUUUGGUCAUUCUCCUUUUGUUUAGGGAUUUUAAAUCACCCAAGUCAUUUGGUUAAUUGUCUUGUGAAAGUUACUUCGUGUUGGGCUAAAUUUGAAACCGACUUUUCUAGGAAUGGAGAUGGAAACAUGAAUGCGUAGAUGAUUAAAAAUGCUUCGAUCCUUUAAACUUGUCGUUUAACGCAUAUGCUUUAAUAUAUAUAUGUCUUAUAAUUGGUUGCUCGUGAAUAAUGAAUAGGAAUAUAAUGGAAGGACGGAUUAGUAGCACAUAUAAUAAGGAUACAAACGGGGCCAUCAAAUCCCCCAAGCUGUUUUCUUUUGUUUGUUUUGUUAUUGGGAAUAAUUUGAAAAACCUCCCUUAGGCUAAGUUUGGGAGUUUAGGAUAGAAAAGAGAAGAAGGGAAAACUUAAGUCACGAGAGAAGAGAAGAGAAAAGAAGGGAUUGUUGUGUUGUUUGGGGGUUUUAAGAAUUGGUGGAAUGAUUUUUGGCUAUAAAAGUCAUAAAAUAUUUGUUCAAUACAUUUUUAAGGAUAAAAUAGGUAUUUUAAAAAACUUUCAUAAGGUUCCUCCAACUUUCUCUCCAAUUUAGGAGGAAAACUUUUACUUACUACAGUAUUUAUCCUCUUAAAUCCUUCUAUUUCUCUUCUUUUCUUUCAUAAUAAAAACUAACAAACGAAGGAAAUGUUCACUUUCUCUUUUUUCUCCAAAUCAUCAACUCCCAAACGAGCCCUUAGAGUUUGUGGCAAAAAUAAAAAAAAUAUAUAUAUAUAUAUAUAUAAUAUAAUAAUACAAUAGUAAAUAGGAGCACGGGUGACAAGACAGAAGAUCCACUGAUCUAAUAUUUCAUUUCGAGUGAAGGGCGCCACCCCCUCGCUGUAUAUUCAUCAUGGACGUUCGCUAUCUGCCCAUCCGCACCAGAGCACCAGCUUGGCUGGCAAUUAGCUAGGCUCUUGUGCUACAUGAUCCGUAAGGUGGAAAUUGGGAGGUGGGUGGGUCUACUGCGUCUAUUCAAUUUGUAUUUUGCGAAAGACAUUAAGCAAGCAUCCUAUAAUAAUAUAUGAUAAGAAAAGCUUGUUUAAUUGUGUAUGUAUGACUAUGGAGGACGCCACUUGAAGAAGCACGGAACUUCCCCUAGGAGAGCUGACCUAAUCAGCUCGGGGUGUUGAUGGGAGAGCUGACUUCAAGCCUGCAAGACAGAAAGGAUGAGCUAACUGAGGGGGCCCGAGGGUGGUCCCCGAGGGCACUCCGACGGUCAAGUUAGUUUUCCGGUGAGUGAGUUUCACAGGAAGUAGUAACUGUCCGGAGUAAAUUGUCAAUAGUGAGCGUACCUUGUACAGUGGAUCUGUGUUAUUAUUUAUACCUGCAAGGGAGUCCGGCCUCCGCACGACGCGGGACUUGCCCGGUAUAGAUAACAUCCCGCACAUAGGGGGAUUUCUCCCGACCUCCUCGGGACGGACCUUCGCCUCCCCUGGGAGCCCUAGCCGGUGCGGCCCAGGGCUGCUGCCAGGAGUCUGGGGCCAAGGCCCAGCUCGGUUCCUCCUGGGCUGCCGCGUGUCCGGGCCCAGAACGGGGCCUCUGCACUAGCCCCCUAGAUUAGGUAGGACUGUCAGGCAGACCUAAUCUAUCUCCGCCACGUGGGAGGCCAGAACCGCGCACUACCCUGCCGAGGUCACCUCUGGUACAGUGCUGUCACAGGGACGCUGCUCCCACGUCCUUUCAGCUGUCCCGUCUCUUCGGUUUUCGUGCCCGCAUUAAAUGCGUUCACAUGGGGGUCGGUUCAAAUUCAUGCAACCGUUUUCCCUCCACUCUUCCCCUAUAAAUAGGGGAUGCCAAAUACUCAUCUGUCCCAUUUGCCAUUUCCGCCUCUUCUUGUGCAUUUCAAGUUAUCACUCUCCCUGCGCACCCACAUUUCCAUUUUCCAGCAACCUCCGGCGUCCUGUGCCCAGAUUCCGGCGAGCCUUCAGUCCUUCUUCUGCCGUCAUCAGUAAGUCCUUUUUGCGACUCAUCUUCCCUCUUUGCGGUGUCUCUUUUGCCCUCUGCUACCUCCCACUUUUUAUGUCGGAGCAUUCCUCCUCCUCUGUUGCUGUAGUAUCAAUCCGCCGCCGAGCUCCCCGAAUCAUCGUUCUUUCCUCGCCUUCACCCUCAUCUUCGUCACCAUCUUCUCCUCCUCCCCCUUCCCCUUCUUCUGUUUCUAGUCCCAGCUUCCACACCUCAGACCUACUUGAGCCUACCGAUACCAUGAGUUCUCCGUCUGCCCACUCCCCUUCGGCCCAAGCCCUUGAGGAGGCAGCCGAGCUUCACGCGCUCAUCGCGCGGCAGGCUACCUCCACUCCCUCCCCCAGAUCCCCCCAUGAUUCCCCUGGCGGAGCCCAGGAGGGUGCCGGGGAGGAUAGGGACUCAUCGGGUGGGUCCCCUGCUCCCGAGCAGGGGAAUGAUCCUGAAUUCUCCUAUGGCUAUCCCGACCUGCAGGAGGCCACCCUCUCUCCCCAGGAUUUGGCCGAGCUGGUUAGGUCGUACUCCAUCCCUCCAACCUACGAGCCGAGGUUGGCCGGGCCCGACGACCGGGCCUGCCGGCCUCCCCUGGCUUCGUAGCCAUCUAUAGGGAGCAGCUCAUCGCAGGGCUCCGUCUCCCCAUCCAUCCAGCUCUAACCGAGAUUCUGAACCACUGGGGGCUCAGAAUCACACAGCUCCAUCCUACCUCUAUCAGGAUCAUCACCGGAUUCCUGAUCUACUGCCUUCUCUGCGACAUCCCUUACUCUCUCUCCCUCUUCCGAGCUGCAUUCAUUCUUAAGGCCGCCCUCCCGGGGUGGUACUACUUCUCCCGCCGUGGCCCCAGACCAAGGGAGGGAAAGGGGCCCAGGAGUUGUUCUUCGGCCUCCGCUCCUCCGUGAAGGAUUGGAAGGAGGAUUUCUUCUUUGUCAGAUCCACACAUUUUCCCCCCAAUGUGUGGAAGGUUGGGGGAGUCAAGGCCGACCCCUACCCGAAGGACCUGGACUACGAGACCCUCGGCCAGCUGUUGGGCUCCAAGGUGAAGCUCGAUGUCACCAGGAUCUCUACUGAGCAGAUCUCCGCAGCCGGGCUGAUGGGGACGUUGUCCGGAUCCUCCGGGGAAGUGGCGACCCCCAGCCCGAACUCGACACCUGUAACACUGGCUCUGUCCCUGUCUUUAUUCAUAGCGUAUAGAUUUUCCCUUUUCUGCCUUUUACUGUCUUUCGUUUGGCUGACCUGGUGUUCAUUUCAGUGAGAAAGCUCUCCCAGCUGAUGGGCGUACCCCUCGAGGAGGUCACUCCCGACCCCCAGCCUGGAGCUGCUCGGGGGCCCCAGGUGGGCUUCCACCCCGGGGGCGGCUCUGCCCCCCACAAGGAGACAUCACAACCAUCUCCCUCCAAGCAGGCCGCCAGCAAAAGAAGCGGCCGGUCAGAAGAGGGGCAGAGGGGACGAGCCCUCUCAGGCUGGCAGAAGAGGCUCGCCCUGGUCUCCGCACAGCCUCCUCCUCUUGCGCGGUCUCCGGGGACCAGUCCACCUGGGCGUGGGCUCUGCCGAGGAGCAGGUCCAGGAGUCGACUCCCCCGAGCUUGUGGCACUUCCGCCACAUAACUCCCCUGAAGCCAGGCCAAGUCCCCACGAUGCAUGACCCCCGCCACUUCUGUCCGUCCUGGAAACUCUCCAUCAACGACCGAGCCCAGUUCCCCGAGGUGGCUCGCGAGCUGAUGGUGGGCUCGCGUCCUUCCUAGGGACAGGAAGUGGAUGGAGCUGGCCAGUCCCUCCGAGCUCUUGAUGCGUACUACACCGCCCAGGCCCAAGUAAGUAUCGCCCAUGGUUAAUUUCCCCCCGUGUCUGGGUUAAGUGAUGUGGCAUGCUGAUCUGCUUUCUCUCUUUUCCAGUCCAACGCUGCCGGUGCCGCCCUGGCUACCCGCUUCUCCGAGCUGUCUCCCGACUUGGAGAAGUUGCAGACGAAGAACCUGGAGGCGGAGAGGAAGCUUUCCCAGGCCCUCCAGGAGGCCAGCUCCCUUAAGGCCAAAUUAGACAAGGCCGAAAAGGAGUUGGACGCCGCCCAGGUCCAGCUCGCCUCCACCAGGUCGGAGCUCGACCAGGAGAGGGCUGGUGUGGCCAAGCUGAAGGGGGAGCAUGCCGUAGAGCUCUCCGGCACCGUCAGCCGAGAGCGGAAGAAGGCUGUUCGGGAGUUUAUCUCCUCCGAUCAGUUCGAGGUGGACAUCGCCCUCCUCAACCAGCCCUUCCUCCAGGUUGGCUCUACGCGGGCCCUGACCCAAGUGCAGGGCCUCAACCUACCCGGCUUCAACGUGGCGGACUUCAAGGACUACGAUCCUGCGGAGGAUAGGCUGGACUGGCUCUUUGAUGGGUACCGGAAGGGGCAUGCCCUGAAGAGCCUGAUCCGCCGAACCGACGUAGGAGCAGACCUAGAGGAGAUUCCCUGGAGGAGGACGGGUCUCCAGGCAGAGCUGCCGGGAAAGAGCCGGUGGCCUAGGGCGGUAGCCACUCCAGAAACCCUUUCUGUCUUUUUGUAAGGAUGUGACCAUGCUCCAGUUGAAAAUGCUCUUGGAGUCCAUCCAGGACGGAAGGGGUUUCCUGCUUCCGGGCUCCUGAAUAGCCUUCACCAUACGCCUCUCACCAUGCUUAAGGUGUACUUUCAACUUCCACCCCGGUCGGGCCACCAGCAGGUAGAACAGACAUCGAAGGAGAUUAUCAGCUCGGAAAUUUUACGGUAGAUAGGCAGGGGCUUUGUAAUAGAUAGGCAGCUCGGAAGCUUUGUAAUAGAUAGGCUUGCAAUGUAUACACAAGACUUCGAAGAGUUAUUUUCUUCUUUCCUUGCCCACUCGCAAUGCUAUGUGCCGACUCUUGGGUCGAACACCUCACACCUCACCCCUUGGGCUGAGUGCUUUAAAUAUUAAGCGCGUCCUUGCCGACCUCCUAGGUCGAACAAUUCGCACUUCCGACCGAGUACUUUAAGCAUUAAGUGCGUUCUUGCCGACUUCCCGGGUCGAACACUUCGCACUUUAUUAAGCGCGUUCGUGCCGACCUCCUGGGUCGAACACUUCACACUUCAGAAUAUUUUAAUCAUUAAGUGCGUUCUUACGACCUCUUGGGUCGAACACUUCACACUUCAUUGAGAACACUUCACACUUCAUUAAGCGCGUUCGUGCGACCUCCUGGGUCAAACACUUCACACUUCAUUGAGCGCGUUCGUGCCGACCUCCUGGGUCGAACACUUCACACUUCAUUGAGCGCGUUCAUGCCGACCUCCUGGGUCGAACACUUCACACUUCAGAAUAUUUUAAGCAUUAAGUGCGUUCUUGCCGACCUCCUGGGUCGAACACUUCACACUUCAUUGAGCGCGUUCAUGCCGACCUCCUGGGUCGAACACUUCACACUUCAGAAUAUUUUAAGCAUUAAGUGCGUUCUUGCGACCUCCUGGGUCGAACACUUCACACUUCAUUGAGCGCGUUCAUGCGAGCUCUUGGGUCGAACACUUCACACUUCAGAGUAUUUUAAGCAUUAAGUGCGUUUGCGACCUCCUGGAUCGAACACUUCACACUUCAUUAAGCGCGUUCGUGCCGACCUCCUGGGUCGAACACUUCACGCUUCACCCACUACCCCUAACCCCCCACUAGGACGUUGAGCGAGGGAAUGCUGAAUGUGCUAGUGUAAGGUGCAGGUUUGAAAUUGUAAAAUGAAACAAGUACAAGUGAAAAUUAAAACGAGCUGUGAUUGAAUGAGAAAACAAAAACUCGGAUUCCAGAGAACAGGCCACGGAUCACCCUGGUUUAACCUAUUCUACAAACAACCGCAAAUUGGAGAAGUGCCAAGUCCGAGAUACUUCAGAUCCAUCCGUCUUAGCGAGCUUGCAAUAGCCAGGUCGGCUCGCCUCAAGAACCUUGUAGGGGCCCUCCCAAUUUGGGUCGAGCUUGUUGGAGCCGUGUACUCGGUUACUCGAGUCGAGUUCUUCCUCAGGACGAGAUCUCCUGCUGGUACUGUAUAGUCUUUACUUUGGCGUUGUGAUAGCGAGCGAGCUGGCUUUUAUACUUAGCCAUUCGAAUAGCCGCUUCCUCCCGCCUGACUUCGAGCAUGUCCAAGUUGCACCUAAACUCUUCCUCGUUGGAUGUUGCCGGCGAAGUUCUGUGUUCUGGGUGAAGGAAGACCAACCUCUGCGGGCACCACAGCUUCUGCUCCGUAUGUUAGGAGAACGGGGUCUCGUGGGUAGCCGUCCUGGGCGUAGUGCGGUAAGCCCAGGGGACACUGGGGAGCUCAUCCAGCCAGCUUGAUUGGGCGGACUCCAGUCUAGUCUUCAACCCUUGCAGGACAGUUCGGUUAGCGUUCUCCACUGGCCAUUGGCCUGGGGGUGACCAACCGACGUGAAGUGUUGGUUGAUUCGAGCUCGGCGCACCAGCUGCGGAAAGGGUCCUCGGCGAACUGGCGGCCGUUGUCAGAUAUCAGGGCAUGCGGAAUCCCAAACCGGCAAACUAUGCUCUUCCAAAAGAAUUUCUGAAUUGCCUUCUCGAGAUAGAGACCAGGGGCUCCGCUUCCACCCAUUUGUGAAGUAGUCUAUGGCUACCACGAGAUGCUCAUAUCUUCCCGGUGCUCGGGGAAAGGGACCCAGGAGGUCUAUCCCCAUUGAGCGAAGGCCAAGGACUGUGGAUGGGGACCAUCUCCCGAGCUGGCUGAUGGCGCAGCGAAGUGUGCACCUGGCAGGCUCGGCAUUUCUGGACCAGAUCUGCUGCGUCUCGGAAGACGGAGGGCCAAUAGUAGCCCAAAGGGAGGCACUUCUUAGCCAGCACUCGGGACCCCACAUGGGCCGCACAUAUUCUUCAUGGACUUCGCGCAGGACGUAAUCACCUUUCUCGGCGUCACGCACUUUAGCCAGGGGGACAAGUACGACCUCCUGUAGAGGGUUCCCCCGGCGUAGGCGUACUUGGCAGCUCGGAGCUGGAUGCGUCGGGUCUCAGCUUUGUUUUCGGGGAGGUCACCCGAGCUGAGGAAGUUAACGAGGGGCGUCAUCCAGGUGGCCGAGCUGUCUAUAGCCAGGAGCUGGACUGAUUGAUACUUUUCUGCUUUAGCCCUCCACCAAUACCUCCUUGCUCAGGUGGGCAAAUGAGGAGGAUGCCACUUUGAAAGGGCGUCUGCCCGCUUGUUCUGGAACCUUGGCACCGCUCGAUUUCGAACGUUUCGAACAAGGCCACGCUCUCGUACUUUGGCCAGGUACUUCUUCAUAACCUCGUCCUUGGCUUCGUACUCCCCAAGGACUUGAAGGACGACGAGCUGUGAGUCGCUCCUGACCUGGAUCGCGGUUAUUCCCAUCUGGUGGGCUAUCCGCAAUCCUGUGAGCAGGGCCUCGUACUCGGCCUCGUUGUUGGACGCGGGGAAGUCCAAUCGGAGGGCGUAGGUCAGUUCUUCCCCGGUAGGUGAAAUGAGUAGCAGACCCGCCCCGCUUCCUUCCUUGCUGGAGGCCCCGUCUACGAACAACACCCAGGGCUCCUUCGGCAGCCGCUCCUCGUGUUGGGGCUUAGCUCGGUUAGACUCAAGCUAGCCCCCUCAGCAAGGAAAUCCGCUAAGGCCUGGGCCUUGAUGGCUUUGCGGGGUUGAUAGCCGAUGUCGUGCUCGGCUAGCUCGACAGCCCAUUUGGUCAUUCUGCCCGAGACCUCUGGCUUGGUGAGUAUCUGACGCAAGGGCUGGUCAGUCAGGACUACAAUGCCGUGAGCCUGAAAGUAAGGGCGGAGCUUGCGUGCCGCAUGUACCAAGGCAAGGACCAACUUCUCGGCUGGCGAGUAUCGUGUCUCUGGCCCCUGUAGAGCUCGGCUUACGUAAUACACCGGCCUCUGAGCCCCCCAUCCUCCCGCACCAGGACCGCGCUGACGGCCUCGUUGCAGGCGGAUAGGUAUAGGAAUAAGGUCUCCCCCGGCUCUGGGGCUGUCAGAGAUGGUAGCUCGGCCAAGUAGAUUUUUAGGUCGAUGAAGGCCUUCUGGCACUCCUCAGUCCAGUGGAAGUCCUUCGGCGCUUUCAGUACUCGGAAGAAGGGCAGCCCCCGGACCGCGGAGCGCGAGAGAACCUAUUCAGGGCGGCCAUCCUUCCUGUUAGCCGUUGGACUCCUUCACGCUCCUCGGAGGGGCCAUGUCCAUGAUGGCCUGGAGUUUAUCCGGGUUGGCCCGGAUUCCGUCUCGGGACACCAGGAAACCGAGAAACCUUCCCGAUCUGACCCCAAAAGUGCACUUCUUCGGAUUUAGGCGCAUCCGGCUCUUCAGUAGGAUGUCCAGGACCUCCCGCAGGUCGGGUAUGAGGCGCUGGUCAGUUCGACUUUUGACGAUCAUGUCGUCCACAUAAACCUCCAUGCUCCUGCCGACCUGGUUUUGGAAUAACUUGUUCACCAGGCGCUGGUAAGUUGCUCCCGCGUUCUUCAAUCCGAAGGGCAUGGUCCUGUAGCAGUAGGUUCCCUCCUCGGUGAUGAAGGAGGUCUUGUCCCGGUCCUCCUCGGCCAUCUCUAUCUGGUGAUAUCCCUUAAAGGCAUCCAGAAAGCAUAAAACGUCAAAGCCCACAGUAGAAUCUACUAACCUGUCAAUUCGAGGCAGGGGAAAGCAGUCCUUUGGGCAGGCUUUGUUAAGGUCUGUGAAGUCUACACACAUCCUCCAGGUCAGGUCCUCCUUCUUGACCAGGACGGGGUUGGCCAGCCAGGUCGGGUAGUAGACCUCCAGGAUGAUCUUGGACUCCAACAACUUGCCGACCUCCUGCCCUGAUCACCUCAUUUCUCUCGGGGGCGAAACUCCUUUUCUUUUGCUUUACUGGCUUGAAGUGAGGGUCCACGUCGAGGUGAUGGACGGCCAGGUCCGUAGGGAUCCCGGGCAUGUCAUCCACCGUCCAUGCGAAGACCUGGGAGUACUCCCUCAAUAAGGCCUUCAAGCCUUCCUUCUCGUCCGCUGGCAGCAAUGCCCCGAUGCGGAUGACCUGGUCGGGACGUUCCUUCCUCAAGGGAACUCCUCAAUCUCAUCCUGGGUGCCCAGCAGUUGGGCCUCAUCCCCUGGGAUGUAGGGCUCCAAACAGGUUGUCUGGGCGACCACCUUCUCCUGCCCCCGGAGUGUGGCAGGUACAAGCCCUGGCUACCUCGGGUCGCCGUGCACCUCGGCUAUCCCCCCGGGGUAGGGAACUUGACGCUGAGGUGGUAAGUGGAGGAAACAGCCCGGAGGGCGUUCAAGCAGGCCUCCCCAGGAACACAUUGUACGGGGACGGCUGCCUGACCACCACGAAGUUGACGGGAACAGUCCGCAUUUGGGAGCCUGUCCUACUGUGACCAUCAGGGUGAUCAUCCCUUCCGAGCUGAUGGGUGGUCCGGUAAAUCCCACCAGAGGUGUCCGGACCGGGGUGAGCUGGUCAUCCCUUAAUCCGAGCUCCUUGAACACCCUGUAGAACAUGAUGUCGACCGCACUACCCUGGUCGACAUAUACCUUCUUCACCCGAUAGUUGUUGGUGACAAUGUCUAUCACGAUGGCCUCAUGGUUCCCAGAACCAGGGGGACCGCAUCCCUUGGCCCGAAGGUGAUCUCCUCGUCCAUGCGCAAGCGCUUCAAGGAAUCGUCCCUUCGGGGGUGGUCGCUUGUUCUUCCGAGCUGCAUGGCUGUCCCCCCCUGUGGGACCUCCGGCAAUGGUGUUUAUCACCCCGCCAGGUUCUGGGUGUCCUGGUCGGGAGAGUGGCCCCGAGGAGCGUCCGCCGCUCUGGCGGUCCCGACGCCGUCCCUCGUGCCUGUCUCCGUAGUGGUUGCGCCCGGGCUCCUGACCUGGUCGGCGCACGAACCGCCCUAAAGGCCGCGCUGGAUCAGGUCUUCUAUCUCCUUACGCAGGGCCCAGCAUCCCUCCGUGUCGUGUCCCACGUCGCGGUGAAAGGCGCAGUACCUGUCCUGGUUCCUUUUGUUUCGGGGCGUCCCCAUUUUUGGCGGCCGAUCUCCUAGUCCUUCCGCCUCCAUAACGGCCAAGAUCUGAGCUCUGGGCCGUGUUAGAGGGGUGUAGGUCUUCUCUGGGAGUGGCGGCAGAGCAGGGGCCUUCUCCUUCGAGAGCCGGUCGAAGACGUUUUUCUUGGACGGGGCGUCCUUGUUCUCCGGGGGUUUGUCCGACCUCUCCGAUUCCCGAGCUCCCGAUCUGACUCUUCUUCAGACGACCUGCCUCCUCCGCAUUAGCAGCCUCGUGCGCCCUGCGAAGGAGCUCUUCCAGGUGCACGGGGGCUUCUUGGCCAGGUCGUAGAAAAACUCUUCUACCCUGAGCCCGUUCGUGAAGGCAGCCAUCACCACUUUUUCAUCCCUGUCCCUGACCUGCAAACUCUCCGCAUUGAAGCGGGUCAUGAAAUUCUUCAGUGACUCGUCGGGCCUUUGCCUGAUGGACAUCAGGUGGGUUGCGUUCCUCGCGUAACCUUCGAGGAGACGAACUGGGCCGCAAACUGCCGAGCCAGCUCGGGAAAGCUCCGUAUAGAUCCCGGUUUCAACCCUGGAACCAGAGCCGCGCCUUCCCCUUUAGGAACAUAGGGAAGGUCUUGCAGCGGACCUCAUCCGCGGCGGUUUGCAGGCGCAUAUGCGUCAGGAAGACCGAGAGGUGGUCUCGGGUCGUAGAGGCAUCGUACAUCUCGAUGCUCGGAAUCUUAAACCUCCGGGGUAGGGGGUAGUCCUCUAUCUCCCGGGUAAAGGCGAGGUUGCAUAGUUGUCUCGUAUGGCCGGGGCCUCAAGAUCUGCUCGAGCUCAUCCGAGCAGGGUCCAGAUAAAGGGGGUCACGGGGCCGGCUCUUGACAGACCGAGCGGGGAACGCUCGAACCCAUUCCGUGUGGGCUUCCUCGGAGAGGGGUCUCUGGGAUGGCUCCUCGCGGACCUGUCGCGGGAAUACCUCUCGCUGUCCCCGACCACCGAGGCUCGGGGGCGGGGAGGAGUCCGGGGCGCUUCCUCCUAGGGGGUUGGUCCCGCGACUCGUCCUCCGAAGGAUCAGGGGGUAACUCCUUCUCCUUCCCCUUGGCCUUGGAGGUCUGCGCACCCCCAGCCCCUCUCCCUCUUUCGCCUGACGGAUUAUAUCCUCCAGCAUGGGGAGGUUCUCCGUCACAAACUGGAAGAUCUGCUGCCUCCCUCCCCUGAAAGGGCUGAGCCCCGGCGCCUCGGGACGCCCCAAUCUCUUUCUGCGGGAACCCCUCACCGCCCCCAGGGCCGGUGCUCUCUGCCGUGCGCUUGGAUCGCGUCCUGGCCAUCAACACAAUCUUACUCACCUUACGGUUCCCACAGACGGCGCCAACUGAAGAAGCACGGAACUUCCCCUAGGAGAGCUGACCUGAUCAGCUCGGGGUGUUGAUGGGAGAGCUGACUUCAAGCCUGCAAGACAGAAAGGAUGAGCUAACUGAGGGGGCCCGAGGGGUCCCCGAGGGCACUCCGACGGUCAAGUUAGUUUUCCGGUGAGUGAGUUUCACGGGAAGUAGUAACUGUCCGGAGUAAAUUGUCAAUAGUGAGCGUACCUUGUACAGUGGAUGUGUGUUAUUAUUUAUACCUGCAAGGGAGUCCGGCCUCCGCACGACGCGGGACUUGCCCGGUAUAGAUAACAUCCCGCACAUAGGGGGAUUUCUCCCGACCUCCUCGGGACGGACCUUCGCCUCCCCUGGGAGCCCUAGCCGGUGCGGCCCAGGGCUGCUGCCAGGAGUCUGGGGGCCAAGGCCCAGCUCGGUUCCUCCUGGGCUGCCGCGUGUCCGGGCCCAGAACGGGGCCUCUGCACCACUCAUUUUAUGUUUUUAAUAUAAAUUUCGCUCAGUUUCACCAGGAAGCAGAGGAAAAUGAUAAAAUUAGGAAAGAAUAGAUUACAUAUUUUUAAUGUGAUUUAUAUGAAAUAAAAGAUGAUUUAUAUAUAUAUAUAUAUAUAUGUAUUUAUGGAUCAAGCAGAUAAAUUUAUAUAAAUAAUUCACUAUUCAAACACGGUAAAAAUUGCCCGUAUUGAGACCGAAGAAGCGAACAGAGCUGGGUUAUAAUUGACAUCCAAGCUACCUUACUCUAAUAAGUAAAACCCUUCUCUGUGCACCACACCACAGCAAUUAAUCGAAGCUGACUUGCCAACACACACCUAUGCCACAUCUUGCAACCAACUUCGACUAGCAACUAUCAAACCAAAUGGAAAUACUGGUAAAACCAUCAAAUGAUAACGAUAGAAUCAACCGCUGAACUUAGCUCAGUGGCCAUCAGAAAAGGAUUUAUGUCCCUUCUUGGACUGUAGAUGGAGAGUUCAAAUCCACUGUAAGUGGAGGGUUCAAAUCCCACAUUGGAUUCUAGUCAGAUCUGCAUACCCUUACACACAAGCCUCGUUAGACUCCCCAUUCCUGUUGAUUAGAAUUGUUGACUCCUUUUUGUGUUGAUAUAUUCUCCAACAAAAAAAAAAGAAAAAAGCGUGACAAUCAACCGUGCAGAAGACAGCGCCUUUAUUGGAAAACACAAAAACAGAAAAGAGGCGCGCCAACUUUGACGUCAAAUAACUGCGCCUUCAUUAACUACUGUUUUUCGUGGCUGCAGCAGGACCUUUGCCCCUUACCCACAGCUCGCUCACCAUUACCAAGCUAGCCCGCUUCCCCAAACCAACCGGGGGGCCUCCAGCACUGAUGUAAUCGCUAGAAAUGACGAUUUUUACUGGAUUCACCGCGAAUACUAAUAAACUGUACCGUUCUUGCCGACCGGCUCAUUCAAUUUGUGCUCACUAUUACGUUAUUAAUUCUUUUUAUCCAGCUAUGACCGGAAGCCGGUGGCUAGGUUCCAGAACUGAGUCUACUCCAUCAGAGUUCCGGGGACCAAACGCCUACGAUUUGCUCGGAGUUUCGCAGACAAGCUCAUUAGCAGAAAUCAAAGCUUCCUUUCAUAAAUUAGCCAAGGAGACCCACCCUGACCUUGCCGACUCACACACCUACUCUUCUGCCUCCAAUCGGUUCAUCCAAAUUCUCGCUGCUUAUGAGGUUAUUUGUUUUUAAUAGAAAUAAACAUCUUCUCUUUUAGUGCGAUUAUCACACUCAGUUUACAUUUGUCGUUCUGCUUGUUUUAUUGCUGUGAAUUUUUUUUUUUUUUUUGUGCUACAUUUCUUGUUAUGUACUAGGGUAGCGAGGGUAACUUUGGUGUAGUUAUCAUUAUGCUAGUGAAAUGAUCAAUUUUGGUGAUACAAAUGAUGUCACAAAUCGAGAUUCAAGUCAUGAAGAUUAGCAUUUAUUGCUAGUAUUUUUCCGCAAUGGAUUGCAAUCUGUUAAACUGCUGAAUUCUUAGGCUUAUGUUUACUGGACAUAAAAAUACAACUCGUAUCAGUUCAAGGCAGAAGAAUGAGAAAAAAAAAAAUAAAGAAAGAAAGAGAGGGAAAUUGAUCCUACACUGGAUAAAUGCAUUCUAUUCUAUCUUCAGUUUUAGAAGGCAUUGAACUAAAGUGUAGUUUCAUCUCUAAUGCAACAUCAGGAGCUUGGAUUUGACUUAGUUACGCUUGCUGAAUCCAGAUACUCUCAGAUUGUGAGAGGAGGGCGCACUACGAUCAAUAUCUAUUGUCUCAAAGGGUGCUAUUUCAAAGACUUCCUGGGCAGGGAUCAGAUAUUUUUACCUAUGAAUCACACAGAACACCAGCUGGGCAGAUGGAAGUUGUUGAAUGGUUGAAAUGGUAUAGAUAUGCUGUAAUUGAGAUUUUAUCAGAGAAAAGGGUGGUCAUAGGAUCAGGAUACCUUGAUGUAUUGGAGAGGGAUUUCUAUUCGGCAAUGCAUACAGCAUAUUAUGGCCCAGAGAUUGAGUGCUCAGAUCUUCUUCCUGAUUGUUUUGAAGCUGAGGAGAGGUCUCAUUGUUGCACUCCUGAGGUGCUGCACUUGGUGUUCGGGCGAGAUCUCUUUGGAAUGGUUCGUAUUACCAACCAGAUUCCUGAAAUAUCGCAUGCUAAAAGGGAAAACUUGACAUCUUUUGCAUCAGAUUUGUCUGAAUCCAUUCAGUAUGCUGAUGAUCUAAAGAACUCCAGUGUAACUGAUGGGGGCACUUACCAGAAGCAAGCAACUGAAUCUUGUUACAAUACCUCGGAUACAUAUAAAAAUCUUGAAUUAUGUAUAGGAGGAAGGCUGAUUGCUGUGGCCAGAAGAGAUCCACCACAGAGCUUAGAAGGGAAACAGAACAAAGAGGAUAGUAUUCAUGUUUAUCUCACUUCACAUGAUGACUCUGUGGCUAGGAGUCAGGUGUCUGGCGAGUUUAAUGAUGUGGAUUUUUCAGUUGGAUACAGGAUUCCACUGGGAACAAUAACUGGACUUGGGACCAGCCCGAUGAAGGAUCAUGCUAUGUCUAUGAUAAGAGUGGUGCAAAAACCCAUAUUAUCAUGAAGCACAGAACUUUGCUCGUACGUGUGCUUUCUUCUUUUUGCAUUUUCUCUUGCUAUUAGUUUUCAUCCUGGUAAAACAUACUUUUUUAGGGGAAUAAAUUCCCCAGACAUAAGCAUUCUAAUACAUUUAAACAUGUUAAAUAAUUCACAUCCCUCUACUUCGAUGGAUUCAUGUGCUGCAUGGUAGUGAAGUUGCAUUAGUACCUUACACAAAAUGUUGUUUGGACCUCAUUUCUGCUAGAUAAUUGCUGUUGAAGCUUUUAAGGGACAAAAGGCCCAGGUUUCAAGUCUUUGUAUGCAACUGACAGCUUGAUUGUGCAUUGCUUGCAUACUUCAGUUGCUUCUGCAUAUAUGAAGUUCAAUAUACGAGGCUGCAUACUAUCUGCGGGAACUUCUGUGAAGGCAUUUGAAAGUUCACAUGCCUGAGCAUUUUAAUUCUGAGACUUCUUUCUCUUUUUCUCUUUUUGUCUUUGAUUAUGUGUAAGAGGGGACUUCUUUCAGGUAAAACACAUGCAUUGGUAUCGAGUAGGAGAUAAAGCUUCAAUGUGUGAAUGUAGAUGCACCAGGGCUCGGUUGCCGCCAAGCAAGUAAGCCACAUUCUGUCCUUUCAAUUUAAAUUUACAGAAGAGCCCUGAUUAUACGUCUGCUAGCAUUAGAAGAUAAACAGCAUCUGUUCAAUAGUUUCGUCAAUUUGCUUAUUUUCGUUAGAAUAAGACUACAAGGUCCCUUCUCCUCAUCCUUCCUUAUAAAUCUUGAAUAAAUGAUGGACAUCUGGGAAGCACUCUGACUUCUUCCUGCUUUACAUAUUGGUUAAAACAAUUGAUAGUCCAUUAUCUCAAUAGAUUUGCCCUACCUAUUAUGUCCUGUUUUCGUGCGGCAUAAGACAUGGAUCAUAAGGAUAGGUCUCUAACUUGGAUUUUUUGAGCAGAGGGCUUCAACUUAGAUUUUUGAUAGUAAAGCUAACACGGCAUGUACAAUCUUCUUCUAAUUUACAUGUCUCCCUCCUACACUCAAAUCGAUGUAUUUUAUGUACCUUGAAUGAAACUUUUGAUAGCAUUGCUUACAACUUUUGACUUGGAAGUUGGUGUGGUUAAAGCAGCAUUGGUGCAUGCUCUCUCUCCCUCCCCUCCCCCCCCCCUCUUUAAUUUUUUUUUCCAGCAAGGGAGGGGCAGGACUUAAGAAGCUGGGAGGUGGCAGGGGAUUUGAACCCAGGACCUCUGUUUCCUGGGGCUUCAAUCACAUGCUGUCUAAUUUUCUCCUUUUGGUAGGAGUUUUUUAAAUUUUUACUUUUAUUUUUUGUAAAUAGCAAGGAAAGGUUGCAGUUAUAUGCAGGUUGACAACAUUUGCAAUCUUUUAUCUAGUCCAUGCUUGUCCCACAUCUUUUGAGCAGAUUCUCAUCUCUAAAAAGGAUUAUUCUUGGCCAUUCUUUAGUAUAAUUACCCAUUAAAUAAUGGCAGCUCAAAUUUUUGUCUCUCUCUUCUCCUGUCCUUUACCACGCAAAUCAUUUUCCUGUGCUCAACAAAUCUAUGGUUCCUUCCAUCAGAUUUUGGCUAUUCGAACCUCGCUGUGGCAUGCAUGACAUUGGAGGCUGGUAUGUCGAAACAUAUGGUAGGGAUAAGAAGGCACGUACUGUACCAUCCCAGAGACACUGGGAUGGUUUGGGUUCAAAUGAACUGUUUGACAAGUAUGUCUGUGAUUUAUGAGCCUAAAUUUGAUCUUUUAUUGACUGUAAUAGCAGUUUUCAUGUUAUAUACCAUAAAUAAGUUAACAGGAUCCACAAAACUUGAACUAUACUGUUAAUGCAGUUUUUGAUUAUAUUGUUAUCUGCAGGAGACUCCAUCCAGCAAUGUAUUUGCUUGCUCUUGCCUAUAGAAGUCUAGAUAUUGAAGAUGCAAGGAGAAGGAAGAAAACCGUGAAGGAUAUUAUUGAAACUAAAAUGUUUAGAAUUCUCAGCUGGUGCAAGAAACUAGCCUAAAAAAGUUGCCUAAGGCUUUCUCAAGUUGGAACUCGGAAGUGCCCAUAUCCAGAAUCGUCAUUGCAUCAUGCCUGAUGUUUAGGUAUUUAGUAACAAAAAUUCAUUGGAGUUCAUUGGAAUUUGGGAAUCAAGAACAAAAUAUCAUGAAAAGAUCUCAGUCCUUAUCUUGCUAAAUUGGUUUGGUAAUGAUGAUUCCAUAAGAGAAUGGGGUGUUUUUCUUUAUAAAGAUAAUGAUGAAGAGGCAUAAACAGAAAGAAAAUAUCAAAGGAAAAGAUAACUUUAUGCUGCCAUUGCAAUCUUAGUGAACAAAUAAAGUUUUUUGUCUUCAUUUUUUUCUUUCUCUGCUACAGUAAUCAGAAUGAAAGAGAUCAUACGAUGGAAGGAAUAGAGCUUAGUGAAGAAACAGAAUGAGUACUAGCUUUUGUUCAGCUACAAUUCCUAUCAAAGAUAAAUUUCAUAUAGAGAAAAUUUCAAGUUUGGGCUGUAAGGUUAUGUUGAUCUUAUAGAUUUAACUUGUCUUGUCUUUACAUAGUUGAUCAGAAUUAUCUUUCCUCAAAUAAGAGGGUGCCCCAAAUAAAAGCUGGACCUUUUGUUUUUUCUUUGGGCUACUCAUUGUCAUCUCAUAGCACUUGAUAUCAUGAUAUAAACAUAUAUCAUUGUGUUGUUACCAACUAAUCUGAGUUUUUUAGUAUGUCUUCAUU